rnacentral:lncRNA from 1 species
CAUGAAAUAACAAGUUCUUCGAAAUGCGGUGGUGUUAUAAAUGUAUCAACGAUCACACCAAAAAUAUUAUGCCGGGAUUCAGAAUGCUUGCCUUCAAUGUGUGGAAAGGCAGGGUGCACUCCAAAACUUGAAACAUUUCUCCUCUCUUCAAAAAUGCUAUUUUAGCAAUAUAAAGAAUUAACACACAAAAUAAAAACAGCACCAAAAGUUGUUCUGAAAUUUUUUCAAAUAAAUCUUAAAAUAAACUAGGUGAAAUUUGAGAGAGGUAGGAAAAAGAAUCAGUUCAUUUGGACUUAUAUUUAAAAAGAUAGAGCCAGUCAGAGAUUUGGUCAAAUCUGAUUUUAAAUAAAACAGAAAAAGAAAAACGUUUCAGAUAGAAAUACGCUUUCGGUCAUAGGAGGCGUACUUGAGGUUUUACGUAUCCACUUAAAACAUGUGGACCGGUGCGGGGGUCACUGACUGUGGGUCCAGGGGGCCCACUGGUCAGGUUUGACUAGUCUUCUCCCUCCUCUUCCUCUGUCCCGAGCCGAGGCGGGGCCUCCGGCGAUCGUCGCCGGCGAACGGCGUUUCUUUGCGGGCAUCUGAGCGCAGGGAUGGAUCCGCCACUCCUAGGUGGUCCUUCCGGUGGUCGCAGGGUCGCCGGGGGUGGAGGGAGUCGCCGGCGGCGAGCUCCGUGGCGGAGGGGGCUUCGGUGACAAAGUGAUUUGGUGGCGGCGAUGGCUCCCGAUGAAAAUCAAGUAGGGGGUUGGGUUCCUGGAAGGAAGGAGGGGUUCUUGGUGAAGAGAACGGGGAGGGGGAAGCCCUGGUGGCGCCGCAGUGAAUGAGACAGUGGCGGCGGCAAGAGUUGCCGGAGAUGAAGAAGGCGGCGUUUCCCUGAUGAUUGCGGGCUAUGGGGGUUCCAUGGGGGUAGCUCGGGGUCCCUUUUAUAGCGCGACAAGGUCGGUUCCGCGGCUGUGGAUAAGGCGGCCGGCGAACCGCCGUUCUGUAGCUGCAGGGGAACGUGGCGGCGACGAGAGCUAGGCAACACCCUUGUGGAUGAGCUUGAGAUGUUCAAGGGGCCAGGUGGCGAGCCGGGGUGGCUUGGGCGGCGCUGAACGGCGCAGGGCUGUCGGCCGACGCCGGCGUGCCGCAAAAGUGCUCUGGCGGUGGCGCUGUAGGGCGCCAGGGCGGGCUGUUGUGUUGUGGCGAGGCGGGGAGUGUGUGGCGAGGUUCUGCAGUGUGGGCCAAGACAGGGGCACGACGCGGCGGCUCGUGUGCGCGGCUGCAAUUUGCGCGCUCUGGGCGCGCCCGGCGCACGCACACCAGAUGCUCGACGAAAUGCCAUGGCACUCCAGAGCGCUUGGUUGGAGCUGGGAGUUAGCAGGUCUAGGCUAUGGCUUGCAAGGAGAUCAAUGGACAAGCUUAAGGGGUCAGAGGAUCAGGUUCACACUGCUAACUAAAAUCCAUGCCAAAUCUGACCAUGCACUCCAGGUGUUUGACAAAAUGCCACAGGCACUUAGGCAAGUCUUGGAGUGGUCAAAAACUCCAGAUCAGUGUCUCCUUAGAUGCAAGAGAGAGUGGUGAGGUUAUUUGGACAAAAGGGGAAACUUGCUAGUGCAAGUUUUGCAAAACUACAUUUCUGGACAGGAAAUAAAUGACAUUAUUUCAUGAACCAAAAUUAAUCCAAUGGGUGCAUGCUCCUGGAUUUAGGGGUUUGGUAGGGCUGUCUACAAGUAGGAGAAAACACAAGAUCUUUGGAGAAAAAUUAAAUAGGGUUGCAGUAGAAAUCACAAGGCUGGACCAGAAUGAAAAAGAGGUUGAUUGACUCAAAAUUUUCAAAGAACAGCACUAGGUUUUUGCAUAAUGAUGAAUCAUAUGCUACUACCAAUAUCCCAUAAUUUUGGUGGAGGCUAGAAAGAAUUAUUUAAAAGGGUUGUAGUGCAAAUUGCACUCUGGACAGAGAAGGAAAAAUUGAUGCAGAGCUCAAAUUAUUACAUAAAUAAAAGAUAUUUUUGCACAAAUGUUAUUGAAUAACAUCACAUGACAUCUCCAAAUUUUGUGGGAAUUUUAAGUGAAUUUAUCCAAUGGUUGUAGUUCAAAUAUGGCCAUAUAAUCCUUGAAAAACCAUUUUUAAGAAAGUAAAGAUCAAGCAACUUAAUUAUUUAAUUUGUUAUAUUAAAUAAGGGAAAGUUUCUCUUGACAGAUUAAAUAAGUCCAAUGACAUAUUUGGAAAGUUUUCUCUUUGGGAAAAACUCAUCAUAACAGGGAAGGAAAUGAUUUAAAAAUCAAAAUGGAGCUCAGAAAUCCAAAGUUUUAAUUCCUGGCAAAAAUUUUAAUUCAUUAAAACAAGGCCAAAUUUUUGGGGUGUCACAACACUAUCCCCCUUAAAAAAAAUCUCAUCCUCGAGAUUUGUUAAAAGCUGUGUUAAGAAAAUAUUACGCAAUAAAGAUGUGGCUUUAGUGAGAGGGCAAUAAGUGGUGAAAAAAUCAUAGUGUGAAAACUGGUGCUGCAUGGAAAAGUCUACGGUUCGGGACAAAAACGUGAGAUUUCUACGCUGGAUAUAAAUUUAGAAUAACUUCUAAAUUUAAAAAAAUACGCUGGUCGUACCCGAGAGCACAGUUGUCUCUCUGGCCGACAGGUGGACCCGGGGUCCACUGUCAGCCUCUCCUUCUCCCUCUGGCUCUUUCUUCUUCCUCUCUCCCGCGUGCUUUCUCCACCGGCGACGCCUAGUGUGUAGGGCAUCUAGGCUGUACCGUGGUAGUGCGCGGCGUGCUAGCUGCUGGUGCAGCGUGCACUCACCUCGCGGGCCAGCGCGCUGUCGGCACUGCUCGCGGAUUCGACUCCGAACACCGGCGAUCGGCGACGAGCGGCGUUGGUGGACUUCGCCCACCGUACACCGAGCUCGAGCUAUAAAAUGGCCGGUGUGCCUCUCUCUUCUUCCUCACACCUGGCCUCACUUCUCCUCCUCCUCCCUCCAUUACUGCUUACAAAAGCUCGGGUUAGGCUCUAAUGGCGGAGGCGAUGCCGGACUGGUUUGCGAUCCUGAUAUGCGGAGGGUUGGCGACACUGCUGGGGCUCUCUGUGCUCCUGUGUGCGAUGAUCCUCGACGAUCGUCACGACACUGCUGCUCGGGUGUUGGCUCUCCGCGGUGGUGGUGAUCACGAGGAGUAGAUGGGGUGUGCCGGGUGCUAACUGUUGUUAGGGGGGUGAUGAGCUGGAUGUAACACCGUUGCAAAGUUUUGCAAACAGUGUAUGUGUUCGAAUGGUAAUGGUUGUGAGUCUGCUGCCUGGUGCAGUGUGAAGUUAAUAAAUCCACGCCAAGAGAAAGUGUAGAUGUAGCAACUCAGGGAAAAGAAAUCUCACUCAGAAUUUUUGCGAGGAAAAAUAGUUAAUUUAAAGGAGUAUAAACCACAACAAAAACUACAUUAGUAGAAGCCAAAUAUUUGACUCGUCGUACAAACUCAGGAUAUCACGCAUAGGUCACACACAUAAAUAAAUGUUGCAAAUAAUGAACACUGCAGCGACGUCUAAAAUGGAAACGGUAACUGGACGGGGUCCUGAUAAAAUGUCUCUGGUACUGGGAUACACUCCUCUUCUAUCGGAGGCAGUGGAUUGACCAGUCGAUGUAUGCGUCUCUCCGGGUCGGGUCUUAGUGAUCUGCCGAUGGCAAUCUGAGGACUUAAAUCUGCGAGGCUCUUUGUGAUAAUCCAUCACUCGCUGGUUCAAAUGCUCUUGAGCAAUGAUGUACUGGAUAAGGUUGGCUAGCACUGGGUCUCUCUCAAUGCGUCCACCGGGAAAAGAUGUUACUUCUCCGGGUGUUGCACGGCUCGGAAAGUAAUAAUAUCCUCGUUCGCGGGCAUAGGGUACAGCGGAUCGAAGGCGAGCAAUCGCUUCUUUCGCAGCAGCUUCUAUGGCCAAGUGUGGGGUUGGCAUAGAUUUCCCCAUGAAGGAAACUUCCGUUGGAUCUUGGUUGGGGUCUAUAGGAGGAAUGUGUACUGCUGCCCAAUAUUCCGAGGUGGAUGGUGUGAUCCUUGAUUUGAAUAGCUCGUACUGAGGUAGCUGGGUAGAACCCAUGGUACUGCGGGUAAAGUCCCACAAUAUUUUGACAAAGCUACAUGGGGUUGCAUCUGGGGUUCUCAGGUGAAUGCUGGGGCUCGGCAUGACCGGAAAAAGUUGUGAGUGUGGUGCACAAGGUGAGGGUUGCUGGGUAAGGUCACAAGGUGGCCUUUAUAUAGCAAUGGAGCCAGAUCAUUUUACCGUGGUGAAGGUAAUAAAUUUGCCAGCUUAGCUCCAAAGGUCAGGUCAGUGUCAGAGAUACACAUAUCUCAUAAAGAGACGUGUUACUGUGGUUGUCGUCGGGUUGGUUUUGGUAGUUGUGCCAAGAAAAAUAUGCAACUAUGCGCUGACCAAAUAUGCAAGGCUAUUAUUAAAACAGAUGCACAACGACAGGCUGCGUUAAUAUACACGGUCGCAUGACUACAAAGUGAGGAUACACUGAGACUCGGUACUACUCGUACGGCUUAGUCUACCUCGUUUAUGUCUAAACGGGCGUGCCUGGUGGAUGUCGAGGCUUCUCCAUGUGUCUCACUUCCGGGAUUAGUCAGAGAUGGCGGAGGAACUGCAGGGUCGGGGUAGUGAUGAUGACCAUCGCGGGGAUUGUUGGCCACAACCCCGUUGGAGUGUGCUCCCAAAAGGCGACGAAGCCCUUCUGGGGUCAUCAAAGCAUCUCGGCUGAUGGCUGGAGCUGGUCUCGUGGUCUCGAUCGGUUGUCCGAACAACACGACUGGGUUGUCGGCAUCGGGCUCGUCUUCUCUUCUAGCUGGGGUUCGACGAACUAGCUCUCCAUGAACUGCGAUCAGAUCAAUGGUGAUCUGGUCGAAUAGUGCCUCUAGUGCACUUACAUAGCGCAAUAGGUGCAACAAUGCGGGGUCCGUCUCGUGAUCUCCGUUGGCAACUUGGGGUGGUCUACCAUACCCUUCACGUCUGGGGUAGUAGUGGAACGAGCGACAGUUAACUCUGGGAGACAAGUGCCUGAGAUGAACUAUAGCUUCUCGAGCGGCUAGCUGGAUGGCUUGUGGCUCGAAGGAAGUUGUUCUUCCGGUGAACCUGUAGGGGCGCUCGGGUGACAGUCCCCUACCGUAGAUGUGCACAGUGGCCCAAAAUUGACGGUCUUCACCGCUUAUGGGUCCUUGGUACACAACAAAUUCUGGUGGCUCUUCUAACGCAUAGGCACGACGGGUGAGGUUUGCGAGUAUGGUCACAAAACCUCCAAGGUUGGUUGUUGUGGUUUCAUUGUGCACGACAGGGCCAUGCAUUGUAGCUUGGUUUGGGGGUAGAGGCUGUGUUGUGCUGUGUUGGGGCCAGCGUGCCCCUCUUUAUAGGAAAAAGGGGACGGAGUCUUCCUUCGCACGCUUGCGAGAAAGGACUAUUUAGGGGCCGGUCACUGGCGCAUGAGCGACAGGUUAGGUUGAUAGGUUGGGCACCGACUGCCAAAAGGUGUUGGGUCACUUUGUGGCUAUCUUGCACGAGAAGUUUGGCUGGGGUUUGGUUAUGGUCUGGUGGGUUGGUUUGCCUAAAUUUAUUGACCUGGCUAAGAUAGGAUUAGCCAAUGGUCAGCCUGGCUCUGAUACCAAGUCUGUCACAACCGGUUUUCCGGGUAAUAAAUUUCCAGAAAAGACUGUCGUGCUCAUCAGCCCCAGGAUUACUGUUAGCUGAUGAGGCUCCAACUUGAUACAGAAAUUCCAAGCAGAAAACAAAAUAUGUAGUACAAGGCCAUUCUGGCCUGUGAGUACAACAAAUGGUUUCUAGUGGUUGAUGGCGGAAGCGGGUUGUGAAACAUCAGUGUCUAUGGGACUCCAUUUCCCACGGGAACAGCUGACCAGGUUAACUCGUAUAUUCGCGAGGCUGCUAUCUCCAUUACUUAGGUUCCGGGGCUGUCAUCGCGUCGCUCCUCUUCGUGCAAGAAAAUCUGGCCAAGACAAUAGCCAGGGACAAGCCAGUGAGUACUUUGAAUGUACUCGCAAACAUUAUGAACACAGGUAUAAUAUAACAAUGAUGUGCUGAAAAUAUUUUAUGCUCAUGACGUCAGUCAAAAAUAGUAAAUAAAAGUCUGAUGCGUGCAGGCGGUUAUUUAUAAAAAUGCAAUAACAUAGCAGUAUUAAAAUUAAUGAAAUAAAUAACAAGCAAUGCCACCGCCGGGCGUCUUAGCGACACCACAUAAAGGGCUUUAAAAGAAAUGCCACAGUCGGGCGUCUGAGCGACACCACAUAAAGGGCUUUAAAAGAAAUGCCACAGUCGGGCGUCUGAGCGACACCACAUAAAGGGCUUUAAAAGAAAUGCCACAGUCGGGCGUCUGAGCGACACCACAUAAAGGGAUUUUAAAAUAAACAAUCAUAGUGAAUAUCCCGGAGGUAGAACCAUCCCAGAGAUUACUCGAUAAUAACAAUAAUAUCACGGGUUAGUCAACAAUAAUAAUAAUCAUAGUUAUCACAAGUCACAAGUAGUAAUUCCAUUUCUGGUUAACAGUUUCACCUCCGAAGACCGACACUAAGACCGACACCUGACCCAUCCCAGAUUGUAAUCCUUAACCGUGGACACGGCUAUUCGAAUAGGUUUAUUCUCUGCAGAGGGUGUACUCUUUACCCACGAGUAACGGAUUUCUUUAGUCCAUCGGGACUAAUUCCGUCUACGGUCUUUUUGUUGAAAACACACUUAACUUGCACACACCAGCUUAUCUCACACGUGUCUGGAAUCACCCACGACACCGGUUAAGCAAACUCUAAGUGGGGGAGGCUACAACCUCGCGUAGCAUGGGAUCAAAUUUAUAUCGCGCGCUCUAAGGGGUGGCCUCCCCUCUCGGUCCCAACCGGAAACACCCAUGCCCCCGGACCAGGUGGCCUGCCUACCAGCUACAACCGGUAUCUUCCACCAUGGCCUCUCUGUACGGUGUGUGCUAGAAAGAGGUUGACAACUUACUGAACCGUACUCUACUUGCUGUAGAGACGAGUGGUAGUACGAAACAAGUAUGGGGGUUACUGGCACAAGACUCGAUCUACGGUCGACUCAGGAGGUUUAAGUAUUCCCUGCAUGAUUAGCAUGAUGAAUAUAUUUCAACCAACAGAGUCACCGCUCAUAUCACCUUGCCAUGCCAUACCAGACAUAACUGUCCCGACGGAGACCGGCGACAAACUCAUGCCUACCCAAGGCAGAGGUUUUCCCGGGUUCCUGCCGGUAUGCAUGCAAGGCACAUGAGGGUGAUUAUCAUCACAAGUGUGUCCAUUUCCAACAGCAUGGAAAUCAAUAACAUGCACCCAUGCAUAUGAUCAUAUCACAUGAAAUAACAAGUUCUUCGAAAUGCGGUGGUGUUAUAAAUGUAUCAACGAUCACACCAAAAAUAUUAUGCCGGGAUUCAGAAUGCUUGCCUUCAAUGUGUGGAAAGGCAGGGUGCACUCCAAAACUUGAAACAUUUCUCCUCUCUUCAAAAAUGCUAUUUUAGCAAUAUAAAAGAAUUAACACACAAAAUAAAAACAGCACCAAAAGUUGUUCUGAAAUUUUUUCAAAUAAAUCUUAAAAUAAACUAGGUGAAAUUUGAGAGAGGUAGGAAAAAGAAUCAGUUCAUUUGGACUUAUAUUUAAAAAGAUAGAGCCAGUCAAAGAUUUGGUCAAAUCUGAUUUUAAAUAAAACAGAAAAAGAAAAACGUUUCAGAUAGAAAUAUGCUUUCGGUCAUAGGAGGCGUACUUGAGGUUUUACGCCACCACAUAAAACAUGUGGACCGGUGCGGGGGUCACUGACAGUGGGUCCAGGGGGCCCACUGGUCAGGUUUGACUAGUCUUCUCCCUCCUCUUCCUCUGUCCCGAGCCGAGGCGGGGCGUCCAGCGAUCGUCGCCGGCGAACGGCGUUUCUUCGCGGGCAUCUGAGCGCAGGGAUGGAUCCGCCACUCCUAGGCGGUCCUUCCGGUGGUCGCAGGGUCGCCGGGGGUGGAGGGAGUCGCCGGCGGCGAGCUCCGUGGCGGAGGGGGCUUCGGUGACAAAGUGAUUUGGUGGCGGCGAUGGCUCCCGAUCAAAAUCAAGUAGGGGGUUGGGUUCCUGGAAGGAAGGAGGGGUUCUUGGUGAAGAGAACGGGGAGGGGGAAGCCCUGGUGGCGCCGGAGUGAACGAGACAGUGGCGGCGGCAGGAGUUGCCGGAGAUGAAGAAGGCGGCGUUUCCCUGACGAUUGCGGGCUAUGGGGGUUCCAUGGGGGUAGCUUGAGGUUGCGUGCGUGCUCAGAGGGGCUCGGGGUCCCUUUUAUAGCGCGACGAGGUCGGUUCCGCGGCGGUGGAUAAGGCGGCCGGCUCACCGCCAUUCUGUAGCUGCAGGGGAACAUGGCGGUGACGAGAGCUAGGCGACACCCUUGUGGAUGAGCUUGAGCUGUUCAAGGGGCCAGGUGGCGAGCCGGGGUGGCUUGGGCGGCGCUGAACGGCGCAGGGCUGUCGGCCGACGCCGGCGUGCCGCCAAAAGUGCUCUGGCGGUGGCGCUGUAGGGCGCCAGGGCGGGCUGUCGUGUUGUGGCGAGGCGGGGAGUGCGUGGCAAGGUUUUGCAGUGUGGGCCAAGACAGGGGCGCGACGCGGCGGCUCGUGUGCGCGGCUGCAAUUUGCGCGCUCUGGGCGCGCCCAGCGCACGCGCACCAGAUGCUCGGCGAAAUGCCAUGGCACUCCAGAGCGCUUGGUUGGAGCUGGGAGUUAGCAGGUCUAGGCUAUGGCUUGCAAGGAGAUCAAUGGACAAGCUUAAGGGGUCAGAGGAUCAGGUUCACACUGCUAACUAAAAUCCAUGCCAAAUCUGACCAUGCACUCCAGGUGUUUGACAAAAUGCCACAGGCACUUAGGCAAGUCUUGGAGUGGUCAAAAACUCAAGAUCAGUGUCUCCUUAGAUGCAAGAGAGAGUGGUGAGGUUAUUUGGACAAAAGGGGAAACUUGCUAGUGCAAGUUUUGCAAAACUACAUUUCUGGACAGGAAAUAAAUGACAUUAUUUCAUGAACCAAAAUUAAUCCAAUGGGUGCAUGCUCCUGGAUUUAGGGGUUUGGUAGGGCUGUCUACAAGUAGGAGAAAACACAAGAUCUUUGGAGCAAAAUUAAAUAGGGUUGCAGUAGAAAUCACAAGGCUGGACCAGAAUGAAAAAGAGGUUGAUUGACUCAAAAUUUUCAAAGAACAGCACUAGGUUUUUGCAUAAUGAUGAAUCAUAUGCUACUACCAAUAUCCCAUAAUUUUAGUGGAGGCUAGAAAGAAUUAUUUAAAAGGGUUGUAGUGCAAAUUGCACUCUGGAUAGAGAAGGAAAAAUUGAUGCAGAGCUCAAAUUAUUACAUAAAUAAAAGAUAUUUUUGCACAAAUGUUAUUGAAUAACAUCACAUGACAUCUCCAAAUUUUGUGGGAAUUUUAAGUAAAUUUAUCCAAUGGUUGUAGUUCAAAUAUGGCCAUAUAAUCCUUGAAAAACCAUUUUUAAGAAAGUAAAGAUCAAGCAACUUAAUUAUUUAAUUAGUUAUAUUAAAUAAGGGAAAGUUUCUCUUGGCAGAUUAAAUAAGUCCAAUGACAUAUUUGGAAAGUUUUCUCUUUGGGAAAAACUCAUCAUAACAGGGAAGGAAAUGAUUUAAAAAUCAAAAUGGAGCUCAGAAAUCCUAAGUUUUAAUUCUUGGCAAAAAUUUUAAUUCAUUAAAACAAGGCCAAAUUUUUGGGGUGUCACAUUAAGGUAUGUUUUAUGAGGUUUGGGAGAGUGUCAUGGUAUAGAUAGCAGCCCCUGAUACACUGUUCAGUGAAAGAAAGAACCGGACAGAGGAUCAAAUUUAUGCUCGCAGGAGACUCACUUGAUGACAUAUAUAACUCUUUUUAAUCAGCAGGCGUCUAUAGUGACUGCCGCCUCUCAUGCUGCGGAAGUAUCUGGAUGGAGGUAUAGUCUCGAGCGGGCUGAAGGAGAACUUGGCCAAGUGAAGAGACAACAGGAGGAUAAUCAAGGUAUGCAGAAACCUUGUUUAUUUAGCACAAAUGAAUAAGUGUGCACGAUGAAUUUUUUUUGUACUGUGCUCUAGGGGUGACGGCCGAAAUUGAGGCUCUUAGAAAGGCUAUAGCCGAAGACGAGAAGAAGGCAGCCGCAGAGCAGGCUCUUCGUGAGAAGCACGAGGCCAGAGUUAUUGAGGCUGAGCGAGAGCUUCAAGAGGCCGUGCAGAAAUGCGAGACCUUGGAGCAGAGUUUAGCAGGGAAAGAAUACGAACUCUCCGAGGAUCGCCAAGACGCAAGUGAUGCCCGGGGGGAAUCCCAAGGUGCCCUAAAGGAAAUCCAAGAGGCGAGGAAGAUUGCGGCUAGUAAGGCAUUUUCUGUACAUAGCGGGUAUUUGAAAGGAGAAAAUCAAGUUGAGAGUUUAAAUUUUGAUUUCUCCAAGGGUAUUUGCAGAGCUGCCAUGCAGCAUAUCUGAUGCCGCCCAAUUCUACUGAGCCGAAGAGAGGAAUACUGUGGAUAAGCUCUUCUGGAUGCAGUAUCUAGCGCCGAAUUAUCCGGUGCCGUUUUCCAAUCACCUGAAGCAGCUGGUCGAACUGCAUAAGGCGGCCGAGCUAGCCAUGAAGGAUUUGAUUAUCCGGCUGUGGCCUGCCGAGCCGAUUCCAAGCAAUUACUUUGGGCUCGUGAAGCAGAUUGUGAGUGCCUGCCCUCAACUUGAAGUCAUUAAGCAAUUGGUCUGCAUAGAAGGUGCACGAAUGGCCUUUGCCCGUGCAAAGGUGCAUUGUGGGAAGAUGGAUGCGAAAAAGCUGAUGAUCGAGGGACCGCCGGAGGGAAAGGAGCACCGCAAGCCCGAGUUGUAUUAUGAAGGUGUCUUGAAAGGGGCCCGCCUUGCGGCGGAGCAAUGCAUCAAGGACAUUAUAUUUCCAUGAAUGGAGUCAUGUUUGUCCUUUGUAAUAUUUGAACAAGAUCAUUUCUAUCAUUUAUUGCUUGUCAUUUGAAAGAUUUUCCUCCUGUGCGGCUGUUUUAUAUACUAAUCCGGAGAGUUGGCCAGUCGUCGGCUUCUGCCCCCAUGUAGUAAGUACGGGGGUGGUCGGGAUAAACCUGAACACUCUUUAUCCCAGUUUUGGGUCCUUGAAGGAGGUGUUCAGCACAACAAACUAGGCAAUCAGACUAUAGGGCUUUAUCACUCUCACUUAGCCAUAGGAUCUUUUAAAAGGAAGGUAGGCGCAGCCCCUGGUGUUCGGAAGACCGCACGAGGGGCUUUAUCGGCGCCUGAUCAGAAAAAAGCCGAUCCCUCACAUGCUGCAUUGGUUAUGGCAUUGUGCGGAAGAAAUCCUUAAAGAUUUUACAACCUCUCGAACAGCUGACCAGCUCUCGCUGCAUCAUGAUAGUUAGUUUUCGGCUUUCUCUACUGAGGAGCUCGUCCGGGAGAACCGGGACACAAUCGCAGUAGUUCUCCCUGUGCUACCUUAGCCGAUAUAGCGGAACGUAAGGUACCAAAACAUAGGAGCUAGGCAAACCCAACUAUUGACCCAAGACAUGAUUCGGAGUUGAUGCAUAUAAUGCUAUAAGUUCGGGGUGCCAAACUACCGCGAAGGUGUUCGGACUUUAUUGCCAUAUUAUGGGUAUAAAGAAGCCCCUGGCAUAUUGAGGCGUAACGUGGAAUUCCGCUGCCUUCUUACAAAAGAAUUUUAAUAAGAAAAAGGAGCAUCAUAUAAAUUCACAUGUUGUAUUUGAAUAAUACGUCAAUGCGUAUGAGUAUAGGUAAUGUGAUAAAAAGAAAUAUGACUGCGAAACCUGCUGAGGCCAAGCGGGAUGAAGGUGUACGCGGAUCCGGGGAGUGGUCGAAUAAUCGUAGAGGGGAAUACCUGAAGAUUCCCUUACGCGCUCGAACUGUCUUCACGCCGUGCGUCCUAGCCUACGCAGAGGUGAACCUGCAAAGGAAAUGCAAGAAAUGGUUUCGUGCCACUGAGCGGUUGAGCCGCUGUAUGUGGCUUGUCUUAACUUUUUGCCGGAAGUGUUUUACUUAAGCUCCGGCGAGCCGGGCUAUCUUGUCGUGUAGUAGUUCAGACUCUGUUGGUGGUGUCCGGGAGCUGGGCCUUGCCAUUAACCGUAAUGACGCAGCGCGGACCGGGCAUCUUGAGUUUACGGUAGGCGUAAUAUGGCACCGCAUUGAACUGAGCGAACGCGGUUCGUCUAAGCAGUGCCUGAUAGUCACUGUGAAAGGGGACGAUGUCGAAGACUAACUCUUUGGUAUGGUAGUUGUUCGGAGAUCCGAAGACCACUUUCAGUGUGAUCGAGCCCGUGCGACGGGCCUCUACACCUGGUAUUACACCCUUGAGGGUGGUUUUUGUGGGUUUCAUCCUUGAGGGGUCGAUGCCCAUUUUGCGGACUGUAUCUUUAUAGAGUAGGUUCAAGCUGCUGCCACCGUCCAUGAGGACUCGUGUGAGGUGGAAUCCAUCAAUGAUGGGGUCGAGGACCAAUGCAGUCGAACUGCCGUGACGGAUACUGGUGGGAUGGUCCCAGCGAUCAAAAGUGAUUGGACGAGAGGACCAUAUACUGAGCUUCGAGGCGACUGGAUCUAUUGCGCAGACUUCCCCUGGUUCACGCUUCUGCUUGGGAAUAUGGGUUGCGUAUAUUGUAUUCACCGUUUUCACAUAGGGAGGGAAUUUUUUCUGUCCUCCUGUGUUCAGUGAUUGGGGCUCUUCGUCGUCGUCGUCACUUUGGGACCCGUUCCCCUUGUUUGCAGCAUCUGACCUGUCGGCUUGUCUGAAGACCCAUCAUUCUCUGUUGGUAUAAUUGGCUAGUGUUCCUGGGGUGCCAUGAAUUUGGCAUGGACGGUCGAGUAUGCAGUACAGACUGGACGGGCCUGCAUUGUUUUUGUUGAAUGGCUUUUUCCGCUGACCGAACUUGGGGCCACUGAAUCCGGCAUUGACUGUCGUGUCUUCGGCGCUAUCACCAUUUUUAUGAUGCUUGUGUUUGUUGCGUCGUGGUUUGUCGUUGCUAUCCCUAGUUUUUGAUGUGCCAGUCCUGCUUGCUGUGUUGUUGCUACGAGCCAACUAGCUAUCCUCGCCCGCACAAAAGCGGGUCAUGAGUGUCGUGAGGGCUGCCAUGGACUUUGGCUUUUCUUGGCCGAGAUGUCGGGCAAGCCACUCGUCGCGGAUAUUAUGCUUAAAGGCCGCUAGGGCUUCGGCAUCCGGAUAGUCGACAAUUUGGUUGUUUUUAGUUAGGAACCGGGUCCAAAAUUUCCUGGCUGACUCUCCGGGCUGUUGGGUUAUGUGACUUAGGUCAUCAGCAUCCGGUGGUCGCACAUACAUGCUCUAGAAGUUGUCCAGGAAUGCGCCUGCCAGGCUCUCCCAACUCCCGAUGGAGCUUGCCGGCAAGCUAUUUUGCCAAUGCCGAGCUGGUCCAUUGAGUUUUAGUGGGAGGUACUUGAUAGCGUGUAGAUCAUCUCCACGGGCCAUGUGAAUAUGGAGGAAGAAAUCUUCUAUCCAUACCGCGGGGUCUGUAGUACCAGCGUAUGAUUCAAUGUUCACGGGUUUAAACCCUUCUAGGAAUUCAUGAUCCAUUACUUCAUCAGUGAAGCACUAGGGGUGUGUGGCACCGCUGUGCCUGGCUACUGUCCGGCCGGUCUUUUGUUUAUUGUAUCCGGCGUGACGGUAAUCGUCACGCAUUGUGGCGCACCCCCGUGAUCCGUAGAUCGAUCUUGAUUGUCCUGCUUUGUUUUCCAAUACAUAUCACAGGUCCUUCGUGUAGCCCCGGGCCUUAGUAUUAUUGUUUGAUUGGCGACGGGGUGCGGUCUGGGCUUCGGGCUGGUAUGCCGCUUUGUCUCGGCCACGGGGUGGCCGGUCAGCCGCAUCAUGCACUGGUAGUGUGGGCUUUAACGCCUCCUCCUUGAGUUGAGGUAGCAACCUCCGCUUUGGGUAACUUUUGGUAGGCGCUCGAGUCUAUAUUCCUCAGCAGCCAGGACCUCGGUCCAUCUAUCGGUUAGCAGAUCUUGAUCAGCUUGGAGCUGUUGCUGCUUUUUCUUCAGGCUUUUUGUAGUGGCUAUAAGCCGGCGGUUGAAGCGCUCCUGCUUGACGGGAUCCUCAGGCAUGAUGAAUUCUUCGUCGCCAAGGCUCACUUUGUGUUCAGAGAGAGGCAUGUAAUUAUCAUCCUCUGAUUCUCCAUCUGUUGCCUGUUCCUUAGGGCUAGCUUUCCCAUCCUCUUGCUCGGCCUGCUCGAAGCCUGGCUGGGUAGGAUUGUUUUCGUCUUCGGCACCAUCCGAUUGUUGUAUCUUGUGCCAGUAUCACUAUUUUUGCUAUGGCGGGGCUUGGAUCGGCGCCUAUGACGCCAGUGCCUAGAUUGCUUCUCCACGGGGUUAUCUCCCAUUGCCUCAUCACCAUUGCUUUCUUUGGGGGUGUCCACCAUAUAUAUAUAUCGUAUGAUGAGGUGGCUGUCCAGCUCCCUAUAGGCGGUGGUUCCUGUUCUUCUCCUGCAUCAUCGUCCAUACCGUCGAUGUCUUUGGAGUUAUAGUCAAGCACGUCGGUUAAGUCAUCGAUAGUGGCUAUCAAGUGAGUGGUGGGUGGGGAACGAAUUUUUUCGUCGCCCGCUUCCCACUCGAGCUAGACAUAGUUCAGCCAAGAGUCUCCCGACAAGGAAAGAGACCUUAAUGAAUUUAGCAGAUCACCCAAGGGCGAGUGCUGAAAAAUAUCCGUGGAGGUGAACUCCAUGACUGGUGCCCAAUCAGAUUUGAUUGGCACGGACAUACGCGGUUCGGAUCCUGUAGCCAGAGACGAGUCCGAGGGUCCGAGGAUACCAUCCUCAUUGGAGGUGGCUUCGGUGUUUGGCUCCAACACCGAUGAGUGUUCGGCCUCCGUGGCGGGGUCUAUCGACCCGUUCUAGGAGGGCGCGAUCUGCUCCAGAUUGAACAUUGUCCGAUGGCAGACCUAAGUCACGCUCGUCGCGAUGGUUCGGCAUACCUGACAUGGGCUUGAAUCCGUCGAAGAUCAAGUCUCCGUGGACAUCAGCAGUAUAGUUCAAGCUUCCAAACCUGACCUGAUGGCCAGGGGCGUAGCUAUCGAUCUGCUCCAAGUGGCCAAGCAAGUUGGCACAUAGUCCAAAGCCGCCGAAUACGAAGAUCUGUCCAAGAGGGGAAACCUCCCCCUGGACUACAUCAUUGAAGAUGAUUGAAGGAGCCAUCGAGCCUUAUCGCGACGACAAAGUGGAACUCUCAAUGAAAGCACCAAUGUCGGUGUCAAAACUGGCGGAUCUCGGGUAGGGGGUCCCGAACUGUGCGUCUAAGGCUAAUGGUAACAGGAGGCAGGGGACAUGAUGUUUUACCCAGGUUUGGGCCCUCUCAAUGGAGGUAAGACCCUACUUCUUUCUUGAUUGAUCUUGAUGAUAUGAGUAUUACAAGAGUUGAUCUACCACGAGAUCAUAGAGGCUAAACCCUAGAAGCUAGCCUAUGAUUAUGAUUGUUGUUGUCCUAGGGACUAAACCCUCUGGUUUAUAUAGACAUCGGAGGGGGCUAGGGUUACACAGAGUCGGUUAUAGAGAAGGAGAUUUACAUAUCCGAAUUUCCAAGCUUGCCUUCCACGCAAAGGAGAGUCCCAUCCGGACACGGGACGAAGUCUUCAAUCUUGUAUCUUCAUAGUCCAAUAGUCCCGCCAAAGUAUAUAGUCCAGCAGUCCGAGGACCCCUUAAUCCAGGACUCCCUCAGCAGGACCUAACGAACUAACAUUACUUGAAUUACUUUAACGAGACUGAUAUCCCUCUUGAGGAGAUCUCGGAUGCGGCAUUGCAAUGUCAGCACGUCAUUAACUGGCCCCCAGUCCAGCCCUUUGUUGACCCAUGAUGCUAGUUGGGGCAGAGGGGCAGAGCGGAAGGCUAGGGUGGCAGCCCACUUUGUAACUUGAGGUGCUGUGAUGUAAAACCGCUCCCGUUGCCAUAGGUCGGACACCUCUAGGAAGGAACCCUUUGGCCAUAGGGCGUCGGCACCCUUGCUUAUUAUAGCGCCUCCACACUCUGCGUGUCGCUUGUCGAUCAUCUUCGGCUUCACAUUGAAGGUCUUGAGCCAUAAGCCGAUGUGUGGGAUAAUGCGGAGGAAGGCCUCACACACGACGAUAAACGACGAGAUGUGAAGGAAGGAAUCUGGAGCUAUACCAUGGAAAUCAAGCCCGUAAUAGAACAUGAGCCCUCUAACGAAUGGAUCAAGACUAAAGCCUAGCCCUCGGAGGAAGUGAGAAACGAAUACAACACUCUCAUGGGGUUCGGGUGUGGGGAUAACCUGCCCUUGAGCAGGUAGCCUAUGAAGGAUUUCGGCGGUUAGAUACCUAGCCUCCCUAAGCUUCUUGAUGUCCUCCUCUGUGACAGAAGAGGCCAUGCACCAGCCAUGAAGGUUGGAUCUGUACAUGGUUGAAGGUCCGGAGCACUUAGACUGAACCUUGGAUGUUGGCACUCGAGGUAGGGGAAGGGAAAGAUCGGGCGUUGUUGGCGUUCUGGGAACGGGGGUCCCCAAACUUGCCUGCCUGCGACCUGUGGCGUGGCUCAAGGGGCGGCCCAGCAUGGCCCAUCUUCAUCAGCACGAGCUCAAGACCCUCGCGAGGGGCCAAGCCUCGUGAGGCGGACGACGGGAGGCUUCCUCAGGCACGGCCUCGUCAGGCUGGCUCGCGAGGAGGCGGAGAGAUCAAGGCGGGGUACCUCACGAGGUGCCCAUGACGCAAGCCAUGAUGACCAAGGGCGCCAGGCGGGCGCGAGCCCGCGCAGUGUCCUUCUUUCCUCUUUGGUGCAAAGGGAGCAAGCACAGGCGAGAGCAUCAAGCAAAGGCAUCCAUUUCGGUGCAACAAGACCAAAGACCAGCAGAACGGCAGGAUGGAGGUCAUCGUGGAGCCCAAGCCGGCGUCACCACCAGAGCCUUUGGCAGGCGAGGACCAACUUUAGUCAGGAUAAGUGUACUAGAUGUUCCCCUUCAAAAUGGCUAAUUGUGGGCGCCCUUCCCGCUCAAUAUUUGGUAAGAGGCCCAGUGCCUUUGCCUAUAAAUGGACUAGCCACCACAAGAUAGAGGAGCAGGAGAAGGGAAUGGGAUCCUCACCAGGAAACUGGUAGAGAGAGCGACUGAACUCCCCCUAGUAGUUCAUCGCACAAGCCAAGAACAGACCCUCGCGAGGCUGUUCUCCCUUGUAUUGUUCAUCAUCAGCCCAAGAGGCAAUCCACCACACCACACACUGGAGUAGGGUAUUACACCACAAUGGUGGCCUGAACCAGUAUAAACUCUGUGUCUCUUGUGUUGUUCCUUUGAUUGCUUAGAUCCUAGCAAGGCGGCGAGGCGCAGGCAGUAGAAGGCUAGAUCUCCGGGCGCACCCUAUAGUUCGAACCUAGAGGGUCUUCCGGAACCCGAAAUCCGACAUUUGGCGCGCCAGGUAGUGGUGCGCCGGAAUUCGCCUUACGCCACCCUGUUCUUCACCGACCAUCGCGUCCAUGUCAGACGCUCGUCGGGCCCACGCCGAGCGCCGAGCCGCUCUCACUUCUCGCGUCACCCAGAUGGCCCCCGCCGGCAGCCACCCCCGCCGUUCCCCAUCUCCUGCCAUCAACGCCACCACCGGCCCAGCGGGGAACGAGCAGCAAGCAUCGUUCCAGCAUCCAUCCAUGAGGCGAGACGGCCGCACUGCCACUCCCUCGCUCGCCCCGGCUGGUUCUUCGUCCCGCGCGCCCUGCGCGGCCAUGGAGGCUCGAGCUGCGCUCAUUGCCGCAAACGAGCUCCUGCGCUACCGCCCAAUCGACGACGUCUAUGAAGAGUGGCUCGCCGCGUCGCCGAGCUCGUCCGCGCCGCAGGGGGCUCCCCUGCGCCAUCCUUCUCGAUGCACCACGCCCCGCCCUGCACGGGGAAUGAAGCUCCGGGGGCGCCUCAGCCGCCUCCCCCUCAAGAAGGCUCCCUGGCCCCAAGGCGCGUGGCCCCUGGAUGGAACCCACCCUGUCUGGUGCCAGCGCAGCAAGAGUGGAGCUGCCAAGAGGUUCCUCGCCCCCAAGAGGCUGCCCGAGUGCUCCCUGCUCCGGUCCGUCACGACCACGCUCUUGUCCCAGCGCGCCAAGACCCCGCGCUGCUCCCAGCUGCAGCGCAUGGGGGCCCGCAAGACCAAGCUCCUCGUCACUAGAGGCCUCCCGUGGCCACGGCAGGAUGCCGUGCCUUCACAGCCGGGCUGCGCAGCGUCGUGUGGCCCUGCAAGUUCAAGCCAGACCUGCCUCCUCACUACGAUGACACGGCCGGCCCUGCGGAGUUCCUCCAGCUCUACGAGCUGGGCAUCGAAGCCGCCAACGGGGACGAGAAGGUCAUGGCAAACUGGUUUCCCAUGGCACUCAGAGACGGGGCCCGCACCUGGCUCCUGAACCUGGCACCAGGCACGAUCUCCUCCUGGGACGAGAUGCGCACCCGUUUCAUCGCCAACUGCCAAGGUACUCGCGACCGGCCACCUGCCGUGAGCGACAUGCGCCGCAUCAAGAAGCAACCAAGGGACACCCUACAGAAGUACAUCCAGCGCUUCAACAAAGCACGUCUCAAGAUUCCCAAGGUGACCGAGGAGGCCAUCAUCUCAGCCUUCUCCGACGGUGUGUGCAACGUCAAGAUGAAGGAGGAGCUGGCAAUGCAGGAAGAUAUGUGCACUUCCUUGGAGCUGUUCAACUUGGCAACCAAGUGCGCCAGGGCUGAGGAAGGGCGCCUUUCCCUCCUCGAGCUGCCACCCGCCGACCCAGAAGAAAAGAAAUCCAAGGCCAAGGACGUGAAGUGCAAGGGGCCUGUCGUGCUCGCGGCAGAACCAGACACCAAGCGGGGCAGAGAUCAGCCCGAGUCUUUCAAGGGCAGCCGGUACUGUGUGUACCAUGACCUCCACACCCACAACACCAACGAAUGCCAAGAGCUCCGAGCCAUGCUAGAAGGAAGGGUCGGCCGACGCCCCGACCGCAAUGAUCGCGGCUAUGGCCGAGGAGGAGGAAGGAACGCGAGACGUUAGGGAGACCGCGGCCCUCGCCAAGGGUGGCGCGACCGACCUCGUGAGGAUCGCUGACAGGAUCAGCCUCGCGAGGGAGACUGGAGGGAUCGGCCUCGCGAGGAUCGCCCGCAAGGAAACGCAGGCCUCCCUCCACUGCUGCCGCAGCCAAGGAGAAAUGAGGACCAUCAUCAGGACGAGGGGGCUGGGGGCUUCCAGGAACCGCGUGCGAUCGCCUGCAUCCAGGGCGGAGCUCAAGCCCAGCCUCUCAAUGCAUCUUCAAGCAGUUCGCCCGCGAAGUGAAUGCAGUCCUCCCUAAGCUUGAAGCCACGCCACCUCAGGUGGUCGGCGUGCGCCAUCACGUUCAGCUCAGCGGAUCAGCUCAAGUGCGCGGCCACAGCCGGAGUCCUCCCGAUGAUUUGCUACCCAGUCAUCAGCAACGUGCAGGUCACCAGGACCCCCAUCGAUGGUGGGGCAGGGCUCAACGCCCUGUCCGUAGAGACGUUCGACAAUCUCCAAGUGCCUUACGAUCAGCUUCAGCCAACCAAGCCUUUCUCCGGAGUCACCGACGGCUCCACAGUUCCAAUUGGGCAGGUCCGCCUCCCUUUCACCUUCGGGGCGUGCAACAACUACCGCACCGAGCUCAUCGACUUCGACAUUGCCCACAUUCGCCUGCCGUACAACGCCAUCCUCGGCUACCCAGCUCUCGCCAAGUUCAUGGCCGUGACUCAUCACGGCUACAACGUCCUCAAGAUGCCAGGAAGAGGUGGAGUCAUCACGGUGCCUUGUGAAGAAAGAGACGCGGUGUGCUCCCUGGAACGAGAUUUUCAGGACGCAUCACUUGAAGAUCCAGAUUGCGGGAGCGGGAGGCUCCCUAAGACUGCCCCCAAGAAGAAGAAGACAUCGCCAGGCCCGACCCCUCAGCGGGCAGGCACCUCAGGGUCUGCGCCUGCUCAGGGGGUACCUCCUUCUGUCGCAUAGGGAGGCGCGCCCGGCGCCCUCCUCAGGCAGGGCUCGGGGGCUCCCACCUGGAGGGCCACCGACCUUGCUAAGGUCACGAGGGAGGCGCUUGGGCACCACUUGGAGGCGUGUUUCAGAACACAUUUCCCUCAGGAAGGAGCCAAGCAAGCAGGGCCAAACCCUCAGGAGUUCGUCAGUCAGAUCACACAAGAGUUGCAGGAGUCAAGAGUCAUGAGUGGCAGCCGCAGCUUACCCGCUGCAUCUCCCCAUCCAGGUGAGGAUGGUGGGCUGCGCGUCUGCAUCGACAUCCCAGGGCUCAACCGAGUCGCCUCUCAGGAUCGCUUCUAGCCCUCACGUGUGGGGCGCUGCGGAGGCCCACCCCACAGCUACAUUCGCAUGCCCUACGGCUUGCCGAACGCGGCUGCGGUGCACCAGCGCCUCAUGAGGAGCAUCUUGGAGGCUCAGGAGGCCAGGCGUUAUGCAGUCCUAGCGGAGAUGGAGAUGGUUCGCGAGGAGCCACCAGCGCCUCCGGAGCCUCCCGAGGCUCCCGGGCCUGGGGGCUCGUGAAGAUCGGCUCCCGCAGCCCGCUACGUCAGCUACUUCAACACCCCUUCAUUGUCAACACUAUCAGGUGACAUCUUUCAAGCCUCGUUUCCAGCUGGGAGCGCCCUCAGGGCUGCAUCAUUCCCCAGGACGCGUGGGUCCAUCCCUGCGGCGUGUAUCCCUUUUGCUCGUGUUUUUAGCUUACUUUGUUGGGGGCGCCCCUCGGGCUGCAUCAUCCCCAAGUCGCUCGGGUCAGACCUAGCGGUGUGUACCCUACUUGCGUUUAUUUACAGGCCAUGCAUUCGACCCAUCAUGCUUGUUAUUUGGUGCCUGUCCGUGGCACCUCUUCUUCCUUGAUGUCGGCAGCUUGCGCGUUAAAGGGGGGGUACCUGAGCAUCGCAACUCAGGGCUCCUACCGGCUCUCUAGCCCUCACCCUCUGGCUUUGCCCACGGCAUCAUGCCCCGGCAAACCAGCGACGGCUGAGACUAGCUCGAGGGCCGGGACCCGUGGACGUAGAGCGUCGACAUUUAACCAAGAUUGCGCGUUAAAGGGGGGGGUACCUGAGCAUCAUGACUCAGGGCUCCUACCGGCUCUCUAGCCCUCACCCUCUGGCUUUGCCCACGGCAUCGUGCCCCGCUANNNNNNNNNNNNNNNNNNNNNNNNNNNNNNNNNNNNNNNNNNNNNNNNNNNNNNNNNNNNNNNNNNNNNNNNNNNNNNNNNNNNNNNNNNNNNNNNNNNNNNNNNNNNNNNNNNNNNNNNNNNNNNNNNNNNNNNNNNNNNNNNNNNNNNNNNNNNNNNNNNNNNNNNNNNNNNNNNNNNNNNNNNNNNNNNNNNNNNNNNNNNNNNNNNNNNNNNNNNNNNNNNNNNNNNNNNNNNNNNNNNNNNNNNNNNNNNNNNNNNNNNNNNNNNNNNNNCCCUCUGGCUUUUCCCACGGCAUCGCGCCCCGGCAAACCAGCGACAGCUGAGACCAGCUCGAGGGCCAGGACCCGAGGACGUAGUGCAUCGACAUCUAACCAAGCUUGCACGUUAAAGGGGGGGUACCUGAGCAUCAUGACUCAGGGCUCCUACCGGCUCUCUAGCCCUCACCCUCUGGCUUUACCCACGGCAUCGCGCCCCGGCAAACCAGCGAAGGCUGAGACUAGCUCGAGGGCCGGGACCCGAAGACGUAGAGCAUCGGCAUCUGGCCAAAUUUGCAGGAACACAGCACAAGUUAAGGCCCAGUGCCAGGCGCAACCCGCCUUGGGGGAAGGUCCCGUGAGUCGCGCGCUGGCUCACGGGUGCCCAAUACACCUCGUCAGGCCUUUAGUGCCUCGUCGCCUCUCCAAAGCAACUAACGGCUGACCGCCGCUUGUCAUAGCGGACUUUUGCUCUUUUUGUGGUGGGUCUGUAGGAUCCCCCCAAGGAGAAGCACCAGGUGAGGCCCUCACAGCGUCCUCUUCACUCUCGUCCAUGCGAACCGCUUGCGCGUUAAAGGAGGGGUACCUGAGCAUCGCGACUCAGGGCUCCUACCGGCUCUCUAGCCCUCACCCUCUGGCUUUACCCACGGCAUCGCGCCCCGGCAAACCAGUAAUGGCUGAGACCUGCUCGAGGGCCGGGACCAGAGGACGUAGAGCAGAAAGGGGACCAGAGGUGAGAGGAAAGAGGCACGCGGAGACCUCGCCAGGCAACCCCUCGCUGGCCAAGGCACAGACCUAGCGCCGCACCAGGAAGCGUUUCCUGACCCUCGAGAUAAGUCACUCUCCGGAAACAAUAGCUAUCGCAGCACCGUCACCGCAUCCAAUGCAAUCCCGUGUUAGCAACUCACAUUCCUUUCUCACCGAACGAUAGCUGCUUGAGUGCUAAAGGGGACCUCCGGGACUCCAGGCCGCUCACCUCCUGGCCUUGACCACGGCAUCACGACCUGGCAUACCAGCGACGGCUGAAGCGGCCUUGGGACCGGGACCUGUCGGCGCAGAGCGCCAAGCCCUCGUGAGGUCAAAAAGGAAGAAACUAAGCUAAGACGGAAUAAGCAUCUCGCACUGCUUCACGAUAAGGAUCAUAUUGACAAACGGAGCUACAGACACCUUACAAGCCCCCACGGGGUGUAUUCUUGGAUCCUCGCAGGGACAAAAGAUGCAUAUCCUAAGGAGUCCUAACUAUAGGAACCGUCGCGGCAGACGCCAUCAUCAACGGUGGGCCGCCAGGCACCGACGCCAACCUCAUCCAGAUCAGAGACGGCCGCGGCCUAACGAGCCCGUCCUUCUCCGAGAGCGGUGCAGGCUCGGGGGCUCGUACCUGUCGUUGCUCGUCUCCGGAGUCGCGAAGAGCUCGGCAGAGUCGUUGGAUCCUCGGCACCCUCGCCGCUUGAGGAGCUGCUGGAAGAACGUGCGAUGGCAGGCCUGGUCCUUGCCGCUUCGGGGCUUCUGCCGCUGCCUCUGGGAUAGCACUCCAGCCGACGCCCAUCUUCGUCGAAGACCUUGAAGAGCAUCAUGGAAGCACCGUCGAACUCCAGGUGGAUCACGAGGGCGCACUCGUCCUGCAAACCCGGGCGAUCUCGCCCCAGCCCCGGGUCAUGAAGACCAUACCUGGAGUGUUGACCUCGACAUCUGCAUCGGUCGCAGGAGUCUGGCAAUCGGCGUGCCGCAGCCAGAGCCUGAAGGGCCCCCUCGCCGGAAUCUCGAAGGCGAAGGAAGGAGGAAGGAGAAUCCAAGAUCGAGGAGGCAUGACGGCGUGGAGCACAAACUCUCGGGAGGAGCCCUCAGCGUGAACCCCAGGAGGGACAACAUGCACCGCUGUGACCCGCCGGCACCGACGGCGGCGUCGUCCAUGGCGCUCGGUAUAAGCUCCCGCAGGGCCCUCGAGGUGGGCGUACAAGGGCAGCGAAAACCCUGGUGGCGGCCGCUCGCACCAAGGCCUCGACACCUCCUGCCGCGCGCCCUCAUCUCGGCGGCAGAGGACCAACCGCUUCUUUGGCGGAAGCGGGUCGGGGCCCUCUCGGGGGGUGAGGGAGUCACGGACUAGGAGGUGUCCGGAUAGCCAAACUAUCAUCAUCGGCCGGACUCCAAGACUAUGAAGAUAAAAGAUUGAAGACUCCAUCCCGUGUCCGGAGGGGACUUUCCUUGGUGUGGAAGGCAAGCUUGGUGAUAUGGAUAUGUAGAUCUCCUACCAUUGUAACCGACUCUGUGUAACCCUAGCCCUCUCCGGUGUCUGUAUAAAUCGGACAGAUUUAGUCCGUAGGACGAACAACAAUCAUACCAUAGGCUAUCUUCUAGGGUAUAGCCUCCUUGAUCUCGUGGUAGAUCUACUCUUGUAACACACAUCAUCAAUAUUAAUCAAGCAGGACGUAGGGUUUUACCUCCAUCAAGAGGCCCGAACCUGGGUAAAAAAUCGUGUCCCUUGUCUCCUGUUACCAUCCGCCUAGACACACAGUUCGGGACCCCCUACCCGAGAUCCGCCGGUUUUGACACCUACAUUGGUGCUUUCAUUGAGGGUUCCUCUGUGUCGUCACAGUCAGGAAGGAUGCCUGUUCCUGUCUUUAAAGACGGUGCCGUCGUCAAGGGAGCUUUGGCCGCCGGCCAAACUAUACGGCUAGGUGGUUUUCUUAUGACCGCCUGUUCGGCCACCGCUCCGACGGUGACCUCUCAGGUCAUCAAAAGGGAUCUUCACGUCAGCUCGGAAUUCGCCGAGCAGUUAGAUCCGAUCGAGCUCUCCUCCGUAAAUGAGCUCUUGGAUCGCAUCGCCGCCCUGGGAGUCACUACAGACUACGAUUAGAUUGGGCUUAAAACCGAUCUGAGAGAAAUUAACUCUCCCCAGGCUACCCACCACAUUGUUGUGGUAGAGGAACAAUGCGGCGACUCUUCUUCUAUGUUGAAAACCAACUAUGUCCAGAUUCCCGAUCCCUCCAUGCCAGAUUCCUGCAGAGGGACGGACGCCAAUCAAAUGAUGAACCUAGAGUCAGGCAUCAGAUCAGAUUCGUUGGAAAGCAUCAAACAAACCAAGCUUCCAAAUCCGGAAGCUUCUUGGCCUUUGAGCCUCAGAUCGGGCGGGGUUCCGAACUUAAUUCCACCCGCCCACCCAAACAUAAGCGAUCUAUCUCAAAUACGGCAAGAGCCCGAUGAAACAGUACAUCGUGGGCCAGAUUCGUCCUGGUUAUGAACAGGAUAAAGGACUGCCAUGAAGAAAGCGCGAUUUCAAUCUUCUGCAACAAUUGCACGGACAAGGGAAUCAUAAACGCCAUCAGUCGUCGCGAAGUUACACGCUUCGCUGACCUAGCGACCAUUGUAAAAAAAUACUGUGUGAUGGAGAGUGCCUGGAAAACCGAAACUAGGUUCUGGGACAAUCCGGCCCUGAAUACAACCCCAGUCCGAAAUAAAAGAGUGCGUCAUACUCAAGCACCUGGGUUAAAAACCAAAAAGCAAAAAACCCCUAAAGGGUACAGAACCGUACUACAGGGAUGGCUCAACGGACCCUGCAAAAUCCACAGUACGGAGGGCGCCACUCCAACACAUAGCCUUUGAGCAUGUUAGAUACUACGGCAGGUGGCCAAAAGUGGCGAAGGCUUUUUAGCCCCGGGCAACCAGCCCAGCAGUACCAGUACGGUAUUAACAGUCUUGGAGAAUUUCGCAUCAAAUAACAUGCGGAAACGAACAAUCCGCGGCCUCGCCGAAGUCUACCAAGUAGCAACAGGAAAUCCAUGGAGCAACACGGCUAUCACCUUCAAUGCCAGCGACGAACCUAAAUUCCGAACAGCUAGAGCACCAGCCGCAUUGGUCCUCAGUCCGAUAGUGGAUGGCUUUCGUCUUACCAAGGUACUCAUGGAUGGCGGCAGUAGAUUAAACCUCAUCUACGAAGAAACCCUUCAAAAAAUGGAAAUUGACUGGAGCCGCAUUGAGAGAAGCAGCACAACAUUCAGGGGAAUAAUCCCUAAUUCGAGAAGUACGCUGCACAGGAAAAAUCACGCUAGAUGUAGUGUUCGGCUCGCCAGAAAACUACACGUCUGAAGAGGUCACAUUCCAGAAGAUGAUAGUUCGGCUAUCCAGACUAUGAAAGUGCGGUGUUCAUGGCAUCCCGGAAGCUGCGACACUACUUUCAAGAGUGUUCCAUAACGGUGGCCUCCGAAAUACCUCUCAACGACAUUAUAAACAAUCACGAUGCGACGGGCAGGAUUGCAAAAUGGGCCAUUGAGCUCUUACCAUUUGAUAUAACCUACAAACCACGGCGAGCUAUCAAGUCGCAAGUUCUGGCUGUCUUCAUCGCCGAAUGGACCAAAGCCGAACUCCCUAAAGAGUACGGCGCAUACUCCAAUUGGAACCUGCAUUUCGACGGCUCCAAAAUGUUGGCGGGUUGGGGGCUGGCGUCAUCUUGACGUCCCCAACCGGAGACAUAGUCCAAUAUGUACUUCAAAUAAUGUACAUGGACUCCAACAAUGCAGCCGAAUACGAGGCCCUUCUACAUGGUCUCCGGAUGGCAAUCUCCAUGGGUAUUCAAGGCCUAGAGGUGCGCGAGGAUUCAAAGCUCGCAAUAUCCCAAAUAGAUGGAGACUUUGACGCCAAGGAUCCGAAAAUGGCAGCCUACCAUAACGUUGUGCUAAAAAUGUCAGCCCGGUUUGAGGGACUCGAAUUCCACCACGUAGCCCGGGAUAAUAACCAGGAAGCAGACGUGCUGGCAGGUACCGGUGCAAAACGUGAUGUCGUCCCUCCAAGCAUCUUCCUGGAAUGGCUCUUUAAGCCAUCCGUAUUAUGGGAAGGGGAGUCCGGAAAUAACAACCCGGAACCAAUUGCACCACCCGACACAGAACAUUCUGACACAAUCGGUGGCUCAGCCAAUGAAAUAACACCUUCAGCCCACGAAAUAAUGGCAGUAAUUGCCCCGUGGACGGAACCAUUUCUAGCCUACCUAGUCAGGCAGGAACUUCCCGAAGACCAAAAAUGAGGCCCGCUGCAUAGUUCGGCGAUCUAAAGCCUACAAGGUCCAUGAGGGAGAAAUUUAUAGGAAUAGCACAACCGGAGUCCUUCAAAGGUGUAUCUCCGAAGAGGAAGGGCGAAAUCUCCUGGCUGGAAUUCACGCCGGACUCGGUGGGCACCACGCUGCAGCCUGAGCCCUUGUAGGCAAGACCUUCCGUACAGGAUUUUAUUGGCCGACAGCCCGGGUAGAUGCUCAGGACUUAGUCCAACGAUGCGUUGGUUGCCAGCUCUUUGCUAAUCAGAGCCACAUGCCACCCACCGCCCUCAAAACUAUACCCAUCACUUGGUCGUUCGCGGUCUAGGGGCUUGACAUGGUUGGACACCUUAAAGGGGGAACCCACAAGAACAAAUACUUAUUGGUCAUGGUGGACAAAUUCACCAAAUGGAUAGAGGCCAAGCCGGUUAAAACGGCAGAAUCCGGACCUGUGAUAGACUUCAUAUCCGGGGUAGUACACCGUUUUGGCAUCCCCCACAGCAUCAUCACUGAUAACGGCACGAAUUUCACGGCCGACAAGGUUAAACUCUGGUGCAAAAACAUGGGCAUCAAGCUCGACUACGCUUCAGUCUACCACCCUCAAACUAACGGUCAAGUGGAACGAGCAAAUGGUCUACUCAUGAGCAGCAUUAAACCCAGAUUAGUGCGACCCCUCACGGAAUCUAACACGCACUAGGUAGAGGAGCUCGACUCCGUGCUCUGGGGCUGCGGACCACGCCAAACCGCACAACCAGAUUCACACCAUUUUAUAUGGUAUACGGCGCUGAGGCAGUUUUGCCCUGCGACAUAAUUCAUGACUCAUCGCGCGUGCGCAUGUACGAGGAAAGAGAAGCCGAGUUAGAUCGGCAGGACAGUUUGGACGCUUUAGAGGAGGAGCGCGACGUGGCAAAAUCCCGUUCCGCAUUCUAUCAACAGCAGGCUCGAAGAUAUCAAAGCAGAGAAGUACGGGCCAAAACUUACAACGUUGGCGAGCUAGUUCUACGCUUGCCGGACAAGAAAAAGGACAAACUUAAGCCCAAAUGGGAAGGUCCCUUCAUCAUUGACCAAGUCCUUACCGGCGGUGCAUACCGUCUACGCAACGCAUCUGACAACCGACUCGAUCCAAACCCAUGGAACGCAGCCCGUCUCCGAAGAUUUUAUGCCUAGCGCCGGACUCAGGGUUCGUCUCCUUCCUCCGUCCACCUUUCAUAGUUUUUCGCUGUCUUUGUUUUCCCUCCUUUCUCCUCCCCUUUCUUCAGCACAAACCUCUUGAGGGCUGAUCUGCGCUUUGUUCGCACUUACUUGAUGUGCUACUCGCACUCGUUAUACCUGGGGGAUUCUUUAACAGAAGCUUAUUUAUAUGGGCUUCAUGCCCAACACAUGUGUCACACUUCCGCAUGUACCUUUUGAUCACUUAAGUUUUGGCCAAGCCGGGUUGCGUGGCUCCUGUGCUUACCCUUACGUUCCCGAUUGUUCGGCUAGGAGGUAAAGGGGGCACCUCUGCGAUUGUUACUGCCGGGUCAGCCGGAUGUGUACCUCAGACUGGGUGAAGCCGAAGGCUAGCGUUCUUAAGGGAAUAUUUGGUCGGUGACCUGAAAGAUGAUUUAUUACUUAACUAUUUAUCUGCCCCCAGAUGCUUUUUCUGCUAUUUUCGCAGUCCGGACAUGCACUUUAGAGCAUGCCUCCCAGGGAAAGGAACCCUUAACGGAACUAUUCUCCCUAGAAGAUGUUUCUUACUAACCAUGUAAUAUUACAUAGCUAGUUGGGCACUUGUCUGAUAAAGAAAUUAUGACCCCUACGCCUUGUCUCCAUGCAUGCCCCAGUUCUUUUAUAACCGUAAGGGUAUUCGGACACACUCCGGACUGUUGGGUCCCGAGGUUGAAGCGAAAAGGUCCGCAAAGACAAACGAUCUACAAUCCGGCUAGAAGGCAUCUUACAUGUCAUUUUUAAAUUACAUCGUCAAACUGACUGAUUGUACUCCUCUUCAAUCCCAUCUAACAGGCUGUCUAAUUUACAGUCCUGUUGGGAAUAUUUCGCGGCCAACUCUACUUGGUCGUACAUUAGGCUCACAGGGAUCUCCUUCCCAUCGGGCCCCGCAGGUCCGACCUCGGCCAUGUGGUUUGGGUCAGCCUUCGGGUACUGCGUCUUCACCAUGGCCCAGGCCUCCCUGGCGCCUUGACGGCAAGCCGAUAUCUUCCACAGACGGAGCCGCCGCCGUACUCCCUGAAGCUUCUCAGCAAGCCCUCCAAUACCCUCGGGUAGGGAGACGGAAGGCCAUAAGGCCUGAACAACACCGCUCAUCGCCUGCCGAACACGUUCGUGCAGUUGCAGCAGCUCGGGAAGAGGGUAUCCCGUGGAACCAGGCAUCUCCUCCGCCGGACGACCCGUGAGCACACCUACAGACAUAUUUCUGUCAAUCGACUUCCUCGCCGAACUCUUCUUUUCAAAAGAGUUUGCUCAAGCACUUACUAUAAAUGCCGCAACGAAGCCGCCGAUUCUCCUUUACGGAGUUCGACAGCUGGACUCGAACAUCUUUUAGUUCUUCGCCCAGCUGGGUGUUGGCAUCUUGGAGUUUGUUCCUCUCCUGCUGCACCCUCAUAAGCACCCUCUCGCCGGCCUUCACCUGGUGCAGCAGCUGUUGCUUGUCCGGAUCUAGUCUGGCACCCUCUGCAAUACUAUUGUCAGAUUAUACACACACGCCGCACUUCAUAAACUACUUCUAUUUUCAAAAUAUGAAUUACCAGAGGGGGUCUCAGUGGCUCCCCCGGCAGCGGCUAGUGCGGCCUCAAGGUGGGCCUUGCACUCUUGAAGCUCCUGAGACAGGUGGGUAUUCUUCUCAGUAAGAUCCUGCAUAACAAAUGAUCCUUAAAUCAGUUAGUUUAACUAUUUUAAGUCUCAGGGGCUACUGGCGUAUAUAGCCAUUAAAAUUCCUUACCCGUAUGUCGUUUACAUACUGCUCCGUGGCUUUGGUUAAACCAUCUUGAGCAGCACGGAGGUGCGUGUCUCCCGCAUUAAAGGCAUUUAACGCCUCAGGGGAGAAACACGCGUCACGAAGAACUGUCUGACGGCGCCUAUGAUUCAUGGUGCUCUCCACCUCAGACCUGGUGGCGGACAACCUGUCGGCAUCCUCUGUUGGAGGAGCAUCCGGCUCGCGCCUUGCGCUCGCCUCCCCUUCUGGACCAGGCGUUGGAGCCUGGCUGGCGGAGGCUUGGUGUGCACCCUCUCCGGACUCAGUCCGGCGAGCACUUUUUCUCCUGGAAGAAUCAUGAGCAUUAAUAUGCCUCCCAGGAGUCUUUCUCUUAAAGGACAAUGGUGCACCGUACCUUUGCGGCAAUGUUUUGAUUCGCGCCGCACUCCUCUUCCGCCUGCUAGGCCGAACUAACCUCGUUUGGUCAGUCGCCGUGGGCUCGGCUUCCUGCCGUGAAGGCACCUCCUACCGAGCACCAUUGGUGCAUGGUGGUCAGAAAUAAGCAUUAAAAAAGUAACGGUGUCAGGACUUCGGUCGUACUCACCUAGGAAGUCGGACACAAAACGGGGUAGUCAGCCGUAAUGGCGACUAAAGCAUUAUCUAUGCUGAGCUGGUGGAACACCCCGUCAAUUAAAUCCACCUUAAUGUCCGGAUCCUCUUCGGAGGCCGGAUCAAGGGAUCUUCCCGGAUCCUCGGGUUGUGGAGUCGGGCUUUUUAUGCCCUCCACAUCCCGGUGCAGUUCCUACGUCGAAACCAUAAGGUAAGACACUUAUCUUUGAAAGCGUGGAUAAGAUAUUUAAGCGUCCGCUUACCCAGCUUCGAGGGUUAUUUAUGGAGAAUCCAUGCAAUGGACUCAUGCGGAGGAAGUCCUCCUCCUCUCCCUUGUACAAGCCGGACAGGAUCUUCACCAGAUCGGCGGCCGAUCCCGGUCCCGUGCGGCCAUGACGGGUGGCGUCAUUCUCCCCGUUGAAAUCCCACAUGGGGUGGCCCCUAUAUUGGAGCGGCUGCACCCCACGCAUAAUGCAUGUGGCCAUGACUCCAAUCAUGGUUAAUCCGGAAUGGGCUAGUAGCCGUAUCCGACCCAUCAGAUAAUGGACGCUCCUAUCCUCUUCCCGUUGAGGGCUCCGCGGGCGCCAACUCAGCGUUUCUUCAGAGGAGCGUUGCUAAACUCCGGGAGGCCGAUCCGAACUGGAUCCGGGAGUGGGGCAUCUUCCAUAUAGAACCACUCCGAAGGCCAGUCUUCGGACGCCUUCUUCGGAGUUCCGGAUAGAUAUCCGGUCCCGGCGAUGCGCCAUAUUUCGGCUCCGCCCACUUGAUAUAUCGACCCCUUGUGAGAACGGGUACGAGGCAAAACAGCCUCUUCCACAGCGCAAAAUGGGGCUCGAUGCCCAAGAACAGCUCGCAAAGAGCUACAAAGCCCGCGAUGUGCAAAAUAGAGGCAGGCGUGAGGUGGUGGAGUUGGAGUCCAUAGAACUCCAGGAGCCCCCGGAGAAACGGAUGUAUAGGAAAUCGGAGUCCCCUUAUCAAGUAGGAGACGAAGCAUACCCGCUCUCCUUUCGAGGGAUUGGGGAUGAUCUCCGCCUGCUUCCCGCCCUUGUAGGUGGCCAGUCCGGCUCGAACUGGAACCAUAAAGGCCGGGGGAAGGUAUCCCUCUGUUUGGAGCGCCACUAACUCGCUAUGAGGGACUGAGCACCUCCUCCAAUCUCCUGGCUUAGGACUGGGAGCGCGAGAAGAGGAGCCGCGUCGACUGUCCAUGUUGGAAUGGAUUUUUUGUCAGACGCGCCUCGAUGAGUACUUGCGGAAGGAGGGUGGUGUGAUUUGGAUCUGGAUCCUCGCCUCUCUUAUAGGCAGCUUAUCCGCGCAGUUAGGGGGGAGAAUACCCUGGCUUUUCGCAUUCGUACGACACAUGGAAGAAGGCCAUUAUUGAACGUAGAAGCCAAGGAGCGCAACAUUUAUGAAGCAACCGGACACUAUCCGGCAAAUACAUGGAGCACGAAGGAGAACCCGCCUUGCAAACGCUGAAGACAACAUUCGCGCCGGACUCGUCGUCAUUGAAGCCUGGUUCGGGGGCUACUGAGGGAGUCCCGGACUAGGGGGUGUCCGGAUAGCCGAACUAUCAUCAUCGGCUGGACUCCAAGACUAUGAAGAUACAAGAUUGAAGACUUCGUCCCGUGUCCGGAGGGGACUUUCCUUGGCGUGGAAGGCAAGCUUGGCGAUACGGAUCUGUAGAUCUCCUACAAUUCUAACCGACUCUGUGUAACCCUAGCCCUCUCUGGUGUCUAUAUAAACCGGAAGGCUUUAGUCCGUAGGACGAACAACAAUCAUACCAUAGGCUAGCUUCUAGGGUUUAGCCUCCUUGAUCUCGUGGUAGAUCUACUCUUGUAACACACAUCUUCAAAAUUAAUCAAGCAGGACGUAGGGUUUUACCUCCAUCAAGAGGGCCCGAACCUGGGUAAAACAUCGUGUCCCUUGUCUCCUGUUACCAUCCGCUGAGACGCACAGUUCGGGACCCCCUACUUGAGAUCCGCCGGUUUUGACACCGACAGGGGGCCUUUCCCUUCUCUUCUGCGGAGAACCGGCGUAUCGGAGCCAUUGCGGCAAGGCAGAGCAGUGGCGAAGAUGAAGAAGAGGAGAAGUAGCAGAGGAAGAUGAACUGGAACGGCUCGCGCCAUUCCGUACUUAUAGCCAGGGGAGGCCAACCGCCGGCUUCCACGAUCACAGGUAAUCAUGACCAGUGUUUUCAUGCAGGGACUUGUCAGUUCGUGCAGUCGCCGAGGCGUCGUGGGGGAGCGGAGCCGCCCACGUCCAAUCAACCGCCGCGCGGCGCCCGAGGCUGCAAGCUGUUAGGGCCCGCGGCACUUCACACUUGCCCCCUCGCCUCUCUGCUCAACCAAGUCCGGGCGCGCCUUGGGCCCGGGGGCUACUGUCGGUGUUCUGGGAACGGGGGUCCCCAGACUUGCCUGCCUGCGGCCUGCGGCGUGGCUCAAAGGGCGGCCCAGCAUCGCCCAUCUUGAUCAGCACGAGCUCAAGACCCUCACGAGGGGCCAAGCCUCGCGGGGCGGACGACAGGAGGCUUCCUCAGGCACGGCCUCAUUAGGGUGGCUCGUGAGGAGGCGGCUAGAUCAAGGCGGAGUACCUCAUGAGGUUCCCAUGACGCAAGCCAUGACGACCAAGGGCGCCAGGCGGGCGCCAGCCCGCACAGUGUCCUUCUUUCAUCUUUGGUGCAAAGGGAGCAAGCGCAAGCGAGAGCAUCAAGCAAAGGCAUCCAUUUCGGUGCAACAAGACCAAGACCAGUAGAACAGCAGGAUGGAGGUCAUCAUGGAGCCCAAGCCGGCGUCACCACUAGAGCCUUUGGCAGGAGAGGACCAACUUUAGUCAGGAUAAGUGUACUAGAUGUUCCCCUUCAAAAUGGCCAAUUGUUGGCGCCCUUCCCGCUCAAUAUUUGGGAAGUGGCCCAGGGCCUUUGCCUAUAAAUAGGACUAGCCACCACAAGAUAGAGGAGAAGGAGAAGGGAAUGGGAUCCUCACUAGGAAACCGGUAGAGAGAGUGACUGAACUCCCCCUAGUAGUUCGUCGCACCAGCCAAGAACAGACCCUCGCGAGGCUGUUCUCCCUUGUAUUGUUCAUCAUCAGCCCAAGAGGCAAUCCACCACACCACACACUGGAGUAGGGUAUUACACCACAAUGGUGGCCUGAACCAGUAUAAACUUUGUGUCUCUUGUGUUGUUCCUUUGAUUGCUUAGAUCCUAGCGAGGCGGCGAGGCGCAGGCAGUAGAAGGCUAGAUCUCCACGCGCACCCCAGAGUUCGAACCUAGAGGGUCUACCGGAACCCGAAAUCCGACAGGCGUGGAAAGGAAGGGACAGGUCUUGACCUCUUUAUAAAGGGGGUGAAUAUCAAGCAUCCUCCACGUGGCCGUUUGCAACUUGCCUAAAACCGAGGAGUCAUACUAACGGCACGGUUGGGUUACCCAUGCCUGUAUUGAUGAGAAUCCCGUGAUAAGGGGAACAUGAUCUCUACUUCGAAAAGAUGUGCCAAUAAAACUGCCUCGCAAGACGUGCAGCAGCAGGUUGAGAAAAGCGGUUCGUAUAAUGACCGGGCCGCGGCGUGAUGUCACGCUAUGAAAAGUUGUCAGCAAAUUAGAUUUAUGGAAUAUUGUGCUCUCUACGGUGGUACGUGGAAUUUGUUUUGCAGAGCCGGACAUGAUUCAUGUGUUCAAAAUCUACCUUGGAGUAUUCGGAGAAGGAACCCGCCUUGCAAUGUCGAAGACAAUCUACGCGCCGGACUCAUCGUCAUUGAAGCCUGGUUCAGGGGCUACUGAGGGAGUCCUGGAUUAGGGGGUCCUUGGACAGCCAGACUAUAUGCUCAUGCCGGACUAUUGGACUAUGAAGAUACAAGAUUGAAGACUUCGUCCCGUGUCCGGGUGGGACUCUCCUUUGUGUGGAAGGCAAGCUUGGCAAUUCGGAUAAGUAGAUUUCCUUCUCUGUAACCGACUCUGUGUAACCCUAGCCACCUCCGGUGUCUAUAUAAACCAGAGGGUUUAGUCCGUAGGACAAUAACAAUCAUAAUCAUAGGCUAGCUUCUAGGGUUUGGCCUCUACGAUCUCGUGGUAGAUCAACUCUUGUAAUGCUCAUAUCAUCAAGAUCAAUCAAGCGGAAGUAGGGUAUUACCUCCAUAGAGAGAGCCCGAACCUGGGUAAACAUUCUGUCCCCCGCCUCCUGUUACCAUUAGCCUUAGACGCACAGUUCGGGACCCCCUACCCGAGAUCCGCCGGUUUUGACACCGACAGGGAACCUAAAACUUUUCAAAAAGGAAAGUGAAAGUGAGAGGGACAAGCAUUGUUGAAGUGGGAGAGCUCCUUGAACUUUGUUCAUACUCGCGGAAACUUUGUGAAUCUUAAUUACAGAAACUUUUCAUCAAAAAUAAUUAUCCCCUUGUACAAUUCCAUUGUAUUAUAAAAAUAAUGUGCCAAGGUUUGCCUUUAGGAUAUUUACAAUGCUUGUUGUUUUGUACGGUGCAUGAUAGAAUCUUUGGCUGUAGUGCACGAUCUUAAAUUUUUUACUGGAACGUCAAACGGUUCCGAAAUUUGUUGCACUGUCUUGCUGUACAAAUUGUUUAUUUUUCAGAAUUUUGGUAGAAUUUUUGGGGUAUCAUAAGUAUGGUGAAUGUUCAGAUUGCUACAGACUGUUCUGUUUUUGACAGAUUCUGUUUUUGAUGCAUAGUUUACUUGUUUUGAUGAAACUAUCAAUUUCUAUCAGUGGAUUGAGACAUGAAAAAGUUAUACUAAAGUAUAUACAAUGAAAAAAAAUAUUAAUUGGUUUGCAACAGUACUUAGAGUGGUGAUUUGCUUUAUUAUACUAAGGGAUCUUACUGAGUUUUCUGUUGAUGUUUUGUGUGGAUGAAGUGUUUUAUCGAGAAGGUCUCGAUAUGAGGAAAAGGAGGAGAGUCAAGAGCUCAAACUUGAGGAUGCACAAGGCACCCCAAGUAAAUAUUAAAGGAGACUCAAGCAUCUAAGCUUCGGGAUGCCCUGGAAGGCACCCCCUCUUUGUUCAACAAGUAUCGGUAUGUUUUCGGAUUCGUUUCAUUCAUGCGAUAUGUGCAAGUCUUGGAGCGUCUUUUGCAUUUAGUUUUCACUUUUAUUUUAUGCACCAUGCUUGUAUGAGAUAGUACUUGGUUGAUUUAUAGAAUGCUCUUUGCACCUCACUUAAAUCUUUUUAGUAUGGCUUUAUAGAAUGCCUCAUGUGCUUCACUUAUAUCAUUUGAAGUUUGGAUUGCCUGUUUCUCUUCACAUAGAAAACCGCCAUUUGUAGAAUGCUCUUUUGCUUCACUUAUAUUUGUUAGAGCAUGGGCAUACCUUUGUAGAAAGAAUUAAACUCUCAUCCAUUUAGAGAGAUGACAGGAAUUGGUCAAUCACAUGGUUAGUCAAAAAAUCCUACAUAAACUUGUAGAUCACUGAAUAUGAUAUGUUUGAUUCCUUGCAACCGUUUUGCAAUAUAAAGGUGGUGAUACUAGAGUCAUGCUAGUGGGUGACUGUGGAUUAGUAGAAAUACUUGUGUUGAGGUUUGUGAUUCCCGAAGCAUGCAUGUAUGGUGAACCAUUAUGUGAUGAAGUCAGAGCAUGAUUUUUUUAUUGUCAUCUUUUGUGUGGAGGUCGGGAUCGCGCGAUGGUUAACUCCUACCAACCCUUCCCCUAGGAGCAUGCGUGUAGUACUUUGUUUUGAUGGCUAAUAAAUUUUUGCAAUAACUAUGUGAGUUCUUUAUGACUAAUGUUGAGUCCAUGGAUUAUACGCACUCUCACCCUUCCAUUAUUGCUAGCAUCUUCGAUACUGUGCAUUCCCCUUUCUCACCUCGUGAGUUGGUGCAAACUUCGCCAGUGCAUCCAAACCCCGUGAUACGAUACUCUCUAUCACACAUAAGCCUCCUUAUAUCUUCCUCAAAACAGCCACCAUACCUACCUAUUAUGGCAUUUCCAUAGCCAUUCCGAGAUAUAUUGCCAUGCAACUUCCAUCAUCAUCAUAUACAUGACUUGAGCAUUCAUUGUCAUAUUGCUUUGCAUGGUCGUAAGAUAGCUAGCAUGAUGUUUUCAUGGCUUGUCCGUUUUUUGAUAUCUUUGCUAUGCUAGAUCAUUGCACAUCCCUGUACACCACCGGAGGCAUUCAUAUAGAGUCGUAUCUUUGUUCUAGUAUCGAGUUGUAAUAUUGAGUUUUUUUGAAGGUGAACGACAGUGGGAGAGGCUCCCACUGACUUUUGUAUUACUCACAAAGGAACAGUUACAUGUGUGUUACAAUGGGUUUUUUGGGGGGGCCCGGCCAUGUAAACUAGCUACAACACUAGUGUCCCAAAUUUACAAUGUAACUAGACAGGAAAGGAUGAAGCUCCUGUCUACAAUUAUGGGUCGGCAACUCCAAGAGAUGCUUGAACCUAGCCAGCCACGCCUCGAAAGAAUGUUGAAUCCCUCUGAAGUGUUGGUUGUUUCUCUCCAUCCACAAACUCCAAGCAUCCAUCAGGAAGAUACCCAUGAAGAGAGGCUGCCUCCAGUUAUCCUUACCCCCAUGCAGCAAAGCUAAUUUGUUGACUCCCACCGGCCAAGCCAAUCCAACUCUACCCUAGCAAUGUUGACUAAAUGGGCACGUAAAGAAUAAAUGUUCAAUAGUCUCCUCGGGAGGGUUUUGCAGAACAUGCAUGUGUAAUUGCCCCCCGUGACGGCAAAAUGUCUACGCUUGAGCAUGUUUCUGGUAUUCAGACGAUCAACAAGGAUCAGCCACCCAAACAUUUUAAACUUGAUCGGGCUCUUGGCCUUCCAAAGCCAACCGAAUGCCUCAUCUGCGACAACCAGCUUGUAGCAGUGGUUAUAGUAUUUCUUGGAUGAGAAGCACCCGAGCGUGCAUUCCCAAACGUCACAACGGUCGUUGUCCACACACACUUGCAUUGAUCCCUGCUAGAUCUCUUUGAUCUCCUCUCUGGCCUAGAUCGAAAGAGGUAAGCUAAAGAUCAUGGCUGGGUCAGUUGCAGUAAGAACCUUAGCAAUGGAAUCAUCCUCAUUCAUGCAGAAGGAGAAAGCCCGCGGGUACACGUCCAUGAGUGGAGCAUCAUUACCACUAUCCAACCAGACAUCUUUCCAAAACAAAGAGCUAGAACCAUCCCCUGGGAUUACUUUUGUGAUCCCCUGAAAAACCCCACUGAGUUGCAUUACGUAUUUCCACCAGAAAGAGCCCACUGCGUCAGCUGCGUGCAGUAUUUUGUUCCUGUAGUAAGCGUCCCAAACCAACCUCACCCAGGUGACAUCAUCAUGAUUAUAAAAUUUGAACAGAUGCUUUAGGAGAAGGGCAACAUUCUGGGUUUUGAUAUCAAUGAUACCAAGGCCUCCACAUGGUUUUGGGCGGCAGACAAGUUCCCAGGCCGCGAGGGAAUUGUUUUUGACUCCAUCAUCAAAAAAUUUCGCCUAGAGACAAUACCAGCACAGUUUGUCAAGAUGUUCAACCACCUUUGGGUGCAAUUUGAUUGAGCACAUUGCAUAGAUCAACAUCGACGUCACAACAGAAUUGACCAGAGUCAGUUUAGCCACAGACGACAUCAGAGACAGCGCUGUGGAUGUCUUCCUCUCAACUGCAUGCACUAGCGGCAUGAGAUCAAGAAUGCUUGGCCUCGUCGUCCCCAUUGGGAGACCGAGGUAAGUGAACGGUAGGGAACAAACAGAACAUCCAAACACCGCUACCAACUCACAAGCAUGCUGGUGAUCAAUGUUAAUGGGUAUAAGAGUUGAUUUAUGGAAAUUGAUUUUCAGUCCAACCGAAGCAGCGUAGUCCUCCAAGAUAGACUUCAUAUGGGCAGCUUGUUCAGGACAUGUCUGCAUCACCAAAAUCGUGUCGUCAAUGUAUUGAACAACUGGGAAGUCAGCCUCACUAUCACGAGGGAGUGGAACAACAAGUCCUCGAGCGAAGGCAUCAUUAAUCGCUGCUUGGAGGAGGUCAGCCGCAAGGACAAAAAUUAGCGGUGAGAGAGGGUCACCCUGCCGUACACCACAUUUGCAUUGGAAUUUCCGACCAGGAACUCCAUUAAGGAGUACAGAAGAAACCCCCGAGCCAAAAAUCGUUUUCAUCCAUCCGAGCCAUUUGUCAUCAAAACCCAUGUGCUUCAUGAUCUCCAACAUGGGGGUGUGCUCAAUCGUGUCAAACGCCUUAGCAAAGUCGAGCUUGAGGAGGAUUAUCUCCCAUGAUGAGGUAUGGCAUUGAUGGAUAUAUUCAAACGACCACGCCAGGCAAUCUUAGAUUGCCUUCCCCUUAAUGAAACCGUACUGGUUUUUUGUGGAUGAUUUUGAGGAUGACUUUCUACAGCCGAUUAGCCAGGAUCUUUGUGACGACUUUCAAACAAUAAUUCAGUAAAGUGAUUGGUCUAUAAUCAUUCGCAGUUUCUGGAGAAGAGAUCCUUGGGAUCAAAGUGAUGUAACCCUCACUAAUGCUGGUGAUAUCUAGCCCUCCAGCAUGAAAAUCAUGGCACAUCUCAUAGAAAUCUGACUUGAUGAUCUGCCAGCAGCUUUUAAGAAAACAUCCAUUAAACCCAUCAGGGCCAGGAGCCCUGUCACUGGGCAUUUCCUUAAUUACAACAUCAAUCUCUUCAUUUGAGAAGGGUGCCAACAAUUGAUCAAGCCCCUCGAUCCAGCAAAUGAUUCUAGAAAGAUCAAAGCGCAUGUUUGUGGGUUUAGAAGAACCCAAAUGUUCUUUAUAGGUUUUGUACAACACCCCCUCCUUGCCAACAUGGUCAUGGAUUUCCACAUCAUCAUCUCGAAGCGCGGCAAUAGAAUUGUGUCUAUAUCUCUCAGUGGCCAGAGAUUGAAAGAGCUUGGUGUUUUCAUUAGCAAAUCUGAAAUACCUGAUCGUACGUAUUUUCCUCCAGUACUUGUUCUGAUACUUGAGCAGUGUCUGCAAGUGAAGUUUCAAAAUCCUCCUGAAGUUUGACUCCUGAAUAAAUAGAGGUCUUUUGUCCUUGAGAUUAUCCAUCAUAACUAAACUUUCAUUAAUGUUCUGGAUUAUAAUUUUCAGCUUUGAGAUACCUCUGCUCCAUCUCUUGAGAUCAUAUCCCAGUGUUUUAAGUUUUUUACAAAUGCGGGCAGCAGAGUUCGGGCCAUGGCAUGCCUUGGACCAAGAGUCAGCAACCACAUCAGUAAACCCUUCGUGGUUAAACCAAAAAUUCUCAAAGCGGAAAAGCUUGGACUUGGGGAUAUUAGAUUCAAUUGCAACCUCACACGGGAUAUGAUGAGACACCGGUUUACCCAAUGGCAGAACCAUCGUGUUUGGGAAGGAGGUGGUCCAACAAGAGGAAGAGAAGAACCAAUCGAGCUGCUCGAGCAAGGGGUCAUCUUGCAUGUUGCUCCAGGUAUAUGUUCUGCCCUUCACAGGUAGCUCCAUCGGGUACUGCGCUCGAAUGAUUUCAUUAAACAACAACAUGUCCACAGCGUCACCCCCAGGCUUGUUUCUAUUAUUCAUGGAGCGGAUGAAAUUAAAAUCUCCUAGGAUCAACCAAUUUUCAUCAUCAGGUAUAUUCAGGUGAAAUAACCAGUUAGUAGAAUCCACCCGACGCUGACCAGAGCAUGAACCAUAGACAUUGAUCAAUUUACAAGUUUCACUGGACUGAGUAGCAACAAAAGAGACACCCACAGCAAACGGGUCAACAUACCAAGGCAUGCCCACAAACACAGAACUAUUCCAUAUUAUGAUAAGACCACCUGAGGCACCCACUGACGGUGAAAACACAAAUUUAUCGAAACGCUUGGGGCAGAAAGUUUUAAUAAACGCUAAAUCAAAAGAUUCACGCUUAGUUUCUUGGAUACACAGCACAAAACAACUGCUAGUAUCAAUAGCAUUCCUAAGAACAAAAAGUUUAACAUCAGAGUUGAUGCCUCUGAUAUUCCAUGAUAGCACAUUCCACAAUUUAUUCAUGAGCAAGAGAGAGUUCAGUCGCCGGCUCCAGGGGACGAGCGUUGAUCAUCCAGUAGCUUCUCGGGAGAGAGAACAUCCUGUGCAAUCCCACAGCGGCUGCCCAUCUUUUGAAGAUCUUGAAUCGACGUAGGAGGGGGACAAGCAUCAGUCAUAACCUACACGAGGGCAGCAGCCAAAGAAACAGCUAUGACAAAAGAAGUCUCGCGGGGUUUCACCCGUGACUUGGAGCGCUUGGUCUCAGUAACAUGAUUGAUCUUGAAGCCAUCAUAUUUGUUAGAUCUAGUGCUUCUUCUGACAGUGGUGGUAUCAAGUGGCAGUAGAACAUUGCGGGGAUGUGGAGCAUUAUAAUUAAAGAUAUGAAGAAGCAAUCACCUGAAGAGCAGUACCUUGAUCUGACUGUGGCACUGACUGAAAUUCUACAUCUUCAGAGACAAGUUGUGGGAUCGCCUUGAGACCAGGAGAGCGAGCAACCAUCUCCCAAUUAGCAUUGAUCAAUUCAAACAUGGGCUCGAAAAACUCAUGCAGUAGUGACGACGGGACGAUGGCAGCACCCAACUAAAAGGUUGAGCUGAAAACAGCCGACAGAACAUCAAACUCUGGGACCAUGCCUUCAAGCCAGGCAGCAGUGGCAGCAUUCAGUUGGUUUUGGAGGAACUUGAACGGAUUGAGAGGUAGCAUAACAACCACGGAUUGCUGGAAAGUGUGGGCUGGCAUGUAUACGCUCUUAAGCAUCCUCCCCAUCCAAAGCAACAGCUCAUGAUCAACAGCCACAAAAAAAUUAACUGAAUCUCCUCCUGCUCUGACGAACGCUAGUCUUGCAGCAGGAUUCCCAAGCAGAAAACCAUCAGCCAGCGCUUCCACCGCCUGAAACUCUAUAUCAAAAUACCAAAUAUCAAACAAAUUGUCCUGUACAUUGUGCUCCGGGUCCACACCAUCCAUCAGGGACGGCCCGUCAUACUGAAAGAAUGUUCUGAAACUGAAUCCUAUGUACGGCGGAGGAACCACAGGCCACAUGCGCCAACCAUUUUCCUGAAUAUGUUCCUGAGCAGGUUCUGGAGCAUUCCAUGCCUCUUCAUUCAGAGCAGCUUGUGCAUCCAUCUCAUCAAUUCUUGCUUGCUGCAUGAGGGUGUAGUAUGGAAGCUCAUAUCGGUGGGGUGAGGCAUUCAGAAGGGGAGGAGCAUCCUCAUUGCCAAUUAAAUUGGGAAUUGUAUUUCUGCCAUUCAGCACAUACACAGGGACAGACCAAGAACGAGCAAGACCUGGCAGCAAACCAACCCUGGUAAUCAAAAGACUGUGCGGCACCUCAGCAACAUCCUUAAUAUGACACUUAACCAGAACUCUAGCUUUUUUGUGGCCCGGGCGUGGCCAGACAAGAAGCUUUCCAAAGUUAUGGAUAGCCUUAUGAAUAUAGUGUUCAGUCUGAUAGUCCAUUGGGUUGUAAGUAAAUAAAAGUGUGAUGAUCAUCAUUAUUAGAGCAUUGCCCCAGUGAGGAAAGGAUGAUGGAGACUAUGAUUCCCCCACAAGUCGGGAUGAGACUCCGAACUUAAUGAAAAAAAAGGAGAGGCCAAAGAAGCCUAAACAUAAAAGGAGGCCAAAGAAGCCAAUCUAAAAAAAUGAGAGAAAAAGAGAGAAGGGUAAUGUUACUAUCCUUUUACCACACUUGUGCUUCAGAGUAGCACCAUGUUCUUCAUAUAGAGAGUCUCCUAUAUUGUCACUUUCAUAUACUAGUGGGAAUUUUCAUUAUAGAACUUGGCUUGUAUAUUCCGAUGAUGGGCUUCCUCAAACGCCCGAGGCCUUCGUGAGAAAGCAAGUUGGAUGCACACCCACUUAGUUUCUAGUUUGAGCUUUCGUACACUUAUAGCUCUUAGUGCAUCUGUUGCAUGGCAAUCGCUACUCCUCACAUUGACAUCAAUUGAUGGGCAUCUCCAUAGCCCGUUGAUUAGCCGCAUCGAUGUGAGAUUUUCUCCUUUGUGUCUUCUCCACAUAACCUCCACCAUCAUAUUCUAUUCCACCUAUAGUGUUAUAUCCAUGGCUCAUGCUCAUGUAUUGCGUGAAAGUUGAAAAAGUUUGAGAAUACUAAAGUAUGAAACAAUUGCUUGGCUAAAACCGGGGUUGUGCAUGAUUUAAAUACUUUGUGUGGUGAAGAUGGAGCAUAGCUAGACUAUAUGAUUUUGUAGGGAUAACUUUCUUUGGCCAUGUUAUUUUGAAAAGACAUGAUUGCUUUAUUAGUAUGCUUGAAGUAUUAUCGUCUUAAUGUCAAAUGAUAGACUAUUGCCUUGAAUCACUCGUGUCUUCAUAUUCAUCCCAUGAUUAGAUUUAUGAUCAAGAUUAUGCUAGGUAGCAUUCCACAUCAAAAAUUAUCUUUUUUUGUCAUUUACCUACUGGAGGACGAGCAAGAAUUAAGCUUGGGGAUGCUGAUACGUCUCCGUCGUAUCUAUAAUUUUUUAUUGUUCCAUGCCAAUAUUCUACAACUUUCAUAUACUUUUGGCAACUUUUUAUUCUAUUUUUGGGACUAACAUAUUGAUCCAGUGCCCAGUGUCAGUUCCUGUUUGUUGCAUGUUUUAUGUUUCAUAGAAACCCCAUAUCAAACGGAGCCAAACAGGGUAAAAACGGAUGGAGAAUAUUUUUGGAAUAUUUAUGAUUUUUGGGAAGAAAAAUCAACGUGAGACAGUGCCCGAGGGGGCCACGACGCAGGGGGCGCACCCCUGACCCUCGUGGGCACCCCAUAAGGCGGUUGUUGCUCUUCUUUUGCCGCAAGAAAGCUAAUUUUUGGAGAAAAAUCUUGGCGAGGAUUUCAAUCCAAUCGGAUUUAUGGAUCUCCGGAUAAGAAACGGUGAAAGGGCAGAACACCAGAACGCAGAAACAGAGAGACAGAUCCAAUCUCGGAGGGGCUGUCGCCCCUCCCACGCCAUGGGAGCCAAGGACUAGAGGGGAAACCCUUCUCCCAUCUAGGGAGAAGGUCAUGGAAGAAGAGAAUAAGGGGGGCUCUCUCCCCCUCGCUUCCGGUGGCGCCAGAGCGCCGCAGGGGCCAUCAUCAUCACUGCGAUCUAGACCAACAACUUCACCGCUUUCAUCACCAACUCUUCCCUCCUCUAUGCAGCGGUGUAACCCCUCUUUUACCCGCUGUAAUCUCUACUUAAACAUGGUGCUCAACACUAUAUAUUAUUUCCCAAUGAUGUAUGGCUAUCUUAUGAUGUUUGAGUAGAUCCGUUUUGUCCUAUGGGUUAAUUGAUGAUCAUGAUUAGUUUGAGUUGCAUGUUUUAUUAUUGGUGUUGUCCUAUUGUGCCCUCCGUGUCGCGCAAGCGUGAGGGAUUCCUGCUGUAGGGUGUUGCAAUAUGUUCAUGAUUCGCUUAUAGUGGGUUGCUUGAGUGACAGAAGCAUAAACCCGAGUAAGGGGGUUAUGGCGAAUGGGAUAAAGGGGACUUUAUGCUUUAAUGCUAUGGUUGGGUUUUACCUUAAUGAUCUUUAGUAGUUGUGGAUGCUUGCUAGAGUUCCAAUCAUAAGUGCAUAUGAUCGAAGAGAGAAAGUAUGUUAGCUUAUGCCUCUCCCUCAAAUAAAAUUGCAAUAGUGAUUACCGGUCUAGUUAUCGAUUGCCUAGGGACAAAUAACUUUCUUGUGACAAAAAGCUCUCUACUAAAACUAACUUAGUUGUGUCUUCAUCUAAACAGCCCCUACUUUUUAUUUACGUGCCCUUUAUUAUCUUGCAAACCUAUCCUAUCACACCUGCAAAGUACUUCUAGUUUCAUACUUGUUCUAGGUAAAGCGAACGUCAAGCGUGCGUAGAGUUGUAUUGGUGGUCGAUAGAACUUGAGAGAAUAUUUGUUCUACCUUUAGCUCCUCGUUGGGUUCGACACUCUUACUUAUCGAAAGAGGCUACAAUUGAUCCCCUAUACUUGUGGGUUAUCAAUACGUGUUUGUCACAGUAGGUCACAUUUACGUGAGAAUAUGAUAAUAAUGUUUCACUACAAAAAAAUACACUUCCGUGAUGAUUCAUGUUUGUCACAGUAGGUCACAUUUUUUGUCAUGCAUGUACAUCUAUGACGAUUUUAUGACAGAAUCAAGAUAGUCAUACAUGUGCUGUCGUAGAAGUGUUCCAUGAAAAUACUCAAAUUAUCAUCACGGAAGUGUCCACUUCCAUGAUGAUAAAUGGCGUUUCAUGGAAGUGCUUUCGUCAGGGGUAACGACUUGUGGCAUCCACCACACGGGAUACCCGUAAAGCUAUUGGUUCCGAUUUUGGAUCCGAUAACCCGUUAACAGCAAUGACCAAUGGCAAUUUUCCACCUGUAAAAGUCUCAUUAGCCGAAUGAACCACGUGUCAACAUCGCGUUAGGAUAAAUGUCAUCCAGAGAAUGGAUGGGACACGCCUAUGAUACGUUGAUACGUGGCUCGGCCCAAUAGUGGCCCAUUCAGGUUAAAAGGCCGGCCCAUUUGACUUGGUCAAAAGGUAGCGGGUCGGCUACUACUUCUUGAGCUCGCGUUGCUUUUCCCAUGAAGAGGAAAGGGUGAUGCAACACAGUAGAGAUAAGUAUUUCCCUCAGUUAAGAACCAAUGUAUCAAUCCAGUAGCAGAAGAAUGCACAAAUCACCAAUACCUACACAAACAAUCAAACACUUGCACCCAACCCGAUAAAGGGGUCGUCAAUCCCUUAACGGUCACUUGUAAAGGUGAGAUCUGAUAGAGAUAAAUAAAUAAAAACUAAACAAAAGAUAACUAAAUAUUUUUGGGUUUUUUGGUUUAUAGAUCUAAAAAUAAAAGAUUGCAAAAUAGUAGAUCGGAAACUAAUAUGAUGGAAAAUAGACCCGGGGGGCAUAGGUUUUACUAUAGGCUCCUCUCUUGAAGGCCAAUAUUACGGUGGGUGAACAAAUUACUGUCGAGCAAUUGAUAGAAAAUCGCAAAGUUAUGACGAUAUCCAAGGCAAUGAUUAUGUAAUAUAGGCAUCACGUCCAUGUCAAGUAGACUGACUCCUGCGUGCAUCUACUACUAUUACUCCACACAUCAACCGACUCUUGCCUGCAUCUAGAGUAUUACGUUCAUGAAGAACAGAGUAACACUUUAAGUAAGAUGACAUGAUGUAGAGGAAUAAACUCAAGAAAUAUAAUGUAAACUCCAUAUUUUUAUCCACGAUGGCAACAAUACAAUACGUGCCUCGCUAACACUACUGCAGGAUGCUGCUAACGCGACACUACGAUCAGAGACCCUUUGAUGAAACUGUGUGUGAUGCAUUAAUCGCAAACGGUGGUGUAAAAAAUGUCAAAAAGGGUGCAAAACAUUUGCGAUGACAGCUGCAUCAAACACGGUUCAUAUUUUAGUUUCGUGUGUGAUGUAGGGCAUACAGUUUAGUGCAAUUAACCAUUUGCAAUGCAGAGCAACAAAAUAAACAGGUAGCCAGAUAAAGGUGCGUGAGAUAAAGAGCAUACGGUUCACUAGGAUGAACUGUUUGUGAUUAGGCAACAAAAAAGAAACAGUCAACUGCUACGUCUUGAGCUUGCGUUGGUUUUCCUUGAAGAGGAAAGGGUGAUGCAGCAAUAGUAGCGUAACUAUUUCCCUCAAUUUUUGAGAACCAAGGUAUCAAUCCAGUAGGAGGCUCCUCAAAAGUCCCACGCACCUACACAAACAAACAAGAACUCGCAACCAACACAAUAAAGGGGUUGUCAAUCCCUUACAGCCACUUGCAAAAGUGAGAUCUGAUAGAGAUAGUAUGAUAAGAUAAAUAUAUUUUUGGUAUUUUAUGAUAUAGAUUGGAAAAGUAAAGAUGCAAAUAAAAGUAGAUUGAAAACUUAUAUGAUAAAAGAUAGACCCGGGGGCCAUAGGUUUCACUAGUGGCUUCUCUCAAGAUAGCAUAAGUAUUACGGUGGGUGAACAAAUUACUGUCGAGCAAUUGAUAGAAAAGCGAAUAAUUAUGAGAUUAUCUAGGCAUGAUCAUGUAUAUAGGCAUCACGUCUGUGACAACUAGACCGACUCCUGCCUGCAUCUACUACUAGAAAUCUACACAUCGACCACUAUCCAGCAUGAAUCUAGAGUAUUAAGUUCAUAAAGAACAGAGUAACACAUUAAGAAAGAUGACAUGAUGUAGAGGGAUAAACUCAUGCAAUAUGAUAUAAACCCCAUAUUUUUAUCCUCGAUGGCAACAAUACAAUACGUGCCUUACUACCCCUGCUGUCACUGGGAAAGGACACCGCAAGAUUGAACCCAAAGCUAAGCACUUCUCCCAUUGCAAGAAAGAUCAAUCUAGUAGGCCAAACCAAACUAAUAAUUCGAAGAGACUUGCAAGGAUAAGUUAAUCACACGUAAAAGAAUUCAGAGGAGAUUCAAAUAUUUCUCAUAGAUAAACUUGAUCAUAAACCUACAAUUCAUUGGAUCUCGACAAACACACCGCAAAAAGAGUUACAUCGAAUAGAUCUCCAAGAAGAUCAAGGAGAACAUGGUAUUGAGAUCCAAAGAGAGAGAAGAAGCCAUCUAGCUAAUAACUAUGGACCCGAAGGUCUGUGGCAAACUACUCACGACUCAUAGGAGAGGCCUUGGAGUUGAUGUAGAGACCCUCCAUGGUUGAUUCCCCCUCCGGCGGAGCGCCGGCGAAGGCUCCAAGACGGGAUCUCGCGGAUACAAAAGGUUAUGGUGGUGGAAAUAGUUUUUCGUGGUCACCUCUGAUGUUCUCGGGGUACGUGGGUAUAUAUAGGAGGAAGAAGUAGGUCGGUGGACGCUCGAGGGGGGCGCGUCCUCCACCCUCAUGGCCUCCUCGAUUGCUUCUUGACUUGCACUCCAAGUCCUUUGGAUCACGUUUGUUCCAAAAAGAUCGCUCCCGAAGGUUUCAUUCCGUUUGGAAUCCGUUUGGUAUUCCUUUUCUUUGAAACACUGAAAUAGGCAAAAAACAGCAAUACAGGCUGGCCCUCCGGUUAGUAGGUUAGUCACAAGAAUGAUAUAAAAGUGUAAAGUAAAGCCCAUAAACAUCCAAAACGGGUAAUAUAAUAGCAUGAAAUAAUAAAAAAUUAUAGAUACGUUGGAGACGUAUCAAGCAUCCCCAAGCUUAAUUCCUGCUCGUCCUCGAGUAGGUAAAUGAUAAAAAUAGAAUUUUUUAUGUGGAAUGCUACCUAGCAUAAUUCUCAAUGUAAUUCUAUUUAUUGUGGCAUGAUUGUUCAGAUCCAAAUGAUUCAAGAUAAAAGCUUAUAAAACAUAAAGAAUAGUAAUACUUCGAAGCAUACUAACAAAUAAUCAUGUCCUAUCAAAAUAAAAUAGCCAAAGAAAGCUUAUCCCUACAAAAUCAUAUAGUCAGGCCAUGCUUCAUUUUAUUACAGAAAAUACUCCCAUCAUGCACAACCCCGAUUUCAGCCAAGCAAUUGGUUCAUACUUUUUAAUGCGCUUCAGCUUUUUCAACUCUUACGCAGUACAUGAGCGCAAGCCAUGGACAUAGCACUAUGGUGGUAUAUGGUGGUGGUUGUGAGGACAAAAAGGGAGAAUAUAGUCUCACAUCAACUAGGCGUAUCAACGUGCUAUGGAGAUGCCCAUCAAUAGAUAUCAAUGUGAGUGAGUAGGGAUUGCCAUGCAACGAAUGCACUAGAGCUAUAAAUGUAUGAAAGCUCAACAAAAGAAACUAAGUGGGUGUGCAUCCAACUCGCUUGCUCACAAAGACCUAGGGCAUUUUGAGGAAGCCCAUCAUUGGAAUAUACAAGCCAAGUUCUAUAAUGAAAAAUUCCCACUUAGUAUAUGAAAGUGACAACAUAGGAGACUCUCUAUCAUGAAGAUCAUGGUGCUAUUUCGAAGCACAAGUGUGGAAAAGAGAUAGUAGCAUUGUCCCUUCUCUCUUUUUCUCUCAUUUUUUAAAUUUUUUUUUAAUUUUAUUUGGCCUUUCUCCUUUUUUUAUUUGGCCUUUCUCUUCUUUUUUAUGGUGGGCUCUUUGGCCUCUUUUUUUUCUUUUUUUUUAAAGUCCGAAGUCUCAUCCCGACUUGUGGGGGAAUCAUAGUCUUCAUCAUCCUUUCCUCACUUGGGACAAUGCUCUAGUAAUGAAGAUCAUCACACUUUUAUUAAUUUACAACUCGGGAAUUACAACUCAACACUUAGAACAAAAUAUGACUCUAUAUGAAUGCCUUCGGCGGUGUAUCGGGAUAUGCAAUGAAUCAAGAGUGACAUGUAUGAAAUUUAUGAAGGUGACCUUGCUACAAAUACAAUGUCAACUACAUGAUCAUGCAAAGAGCAAUAUGACAAUGAUGGAGCGUGUCAUAAUAACAGAACAGUGGAAAGUUGCAUGGCAAUAUAUCUCGGAAUGGCUAUGGAAAUGCCAUAAUAGGUAGGUAUGGUGGCUGUUUUGAGGAAGGUAAGUAAUGGGUGCAUGAUACCAACGAAAGUUGCACGGUAUAAUAGAGACUAGCAAAGUGGAAGGGUAAGUGUGCGUAUAUCCAUGGACUCACAUUAGUCAUAAAGAACUCAUAUACUUAUGGCAAAAGUCUACUUGCCCUCGAAGCAAAGUACUACUACGCAUGCUCCUAGGGGAAGGGUUGGUAGGAGUUAACCAUCGCGCGAUCCUGACCUCCACUCAUAAGGAAGACAAUCAAAAGAGCACCUCAUGCAACAAAUUUGUCACAUAACUUUUACCAUACGUGCAUGCUACGGGGCUUGCCAACUUCAACACAAGUAUUUCUCAAUUUCAUAAUUACCCACUAGCAUGACUCUAAUAUUACCACCUCUAUAUCUCAAAGCAAUUAUCAAGCAUCAAAUUGAUCCUAGUGUUUUAUGCACUUUCUAUGAUAGUUUUUAUUAUACCCAACUUGGAUGCUCAUCAUUCUAGGACCAAAUUUAUAACCAUAGAAAAUACCAUGUUGUUCUAAAAGACUCUCAAAAUAAUAUAAGUGAAGCACGAGAGAUCAAUAAUUUCUUCAAAAUUAAUCCACCGCCGUGCUCUGAAAGAUAUAAGUGAAGCACUAGAGCAAAAACUAUCUAGCUCAAAAAGAUAUAAGUGAAGCACUAGAGCAAAAACUAUCUACCUCAAAAGAUAUAAGUGAAGCACAUAGCGUAUUCUAAUAAAUUCUAAUCAAGUGGGAUUCUCCCAAAAGGUGUGUACAGCAAGGAUGAUUUUGUAAAACUAAAAAGAAAAGACUAAUAUCAUACAAGACGCUCCAAGCAAAACACAUAUCAUCUGGCGAAUAAAAAUAUAGCUCCAAGUAAAGUUACUGAUAAACGAAGACAAAAGAGGGGAUGCCUUCCGGGGGAAUCCCCAAGCUUAGGAUUUUGGCUAUUCUUGAAUAUCUUGGGGUGCCUUGGGCAUCCCCAAGCUCAGGCUCUUGCCACUCCUUAUUCCAUAGUCCAUCAAAUCUUUACCCAAAACAUGAAAACUUCAUAACACAAAACUCAACAGGAAAUCUCAUAAGCUCCGUUAGUGAAAGAAAGAAAAACCAUCACAUAAGGUACUGUAAUGAACUCAUUCUUUAUUUAUAGUUGUGUUAAACCUACUGUAUUUCAACUUCUCUAUGGUUCAUACCCUUACAUACUAACAUAGAUGCAUCAAAAUAAGCAAACAACACGCGAAAGGCAGAAUCUGUCAAAAACGGAACAGUCUGUAUCAACCUGUAACUCUUGAAUACUUAUGGAAAAUCCUACCAAAAUAGGACGUCCUGGGAAAUUUUUCUAUUGAUCUACAGCAAAAAGAAUCAAUGCAAAAUCACGUUCCUGUGAAUUACUAAUAUUAUUUUUGUGCGCGCAAAGUUUCUGUUUUUUCAGCAGAAUCAAAUAAAUUAUCACCAUAUGUUAUCCUAUAGGUUCUACUUAGCACAAACACUAAUUAAAACAUAAAAACACAUCUAAAAAGAAGGUAGAUGCAAAAUUUAUUACUAAAUAGAAACAAAAACAAAAAACACAAAUAAAAUUGGGUUGCCUCCCAACUAGCGCUAACGUUAACGCCCCUAGCUAGGCAUAAAAGCGAGGAUAGAUCUAAGUAGUGCCAUCUUUGGCACUCAAUUCAUAAGUAGCUCGCAUGAUAGAUUCAUAAGGUAAUUUAAAUUUCUUUCUUGGAAAGUGCUCCAUGCCUUUCCUUAAUGGAAAUUGGAAUCUUAUAUUCCCUUCCUUCAUAUCAAUAAUCACACCAAUCGUUCUAAGGAAAGGUCUACCAAGAAUAAUAGGGCAAGAAAGAUUGCAAUCUAUAUCAAGAACGAUAAAAUCUAUGGGCACCAAAUCUCUAUUUUCAACAAUGAGAACAUCAUUGAUCCUCCCCAUUGGCUUUUUAAUGGUGGAAUUCGCAAGGUGCAAAUUUAAAGAGCAAUCAUCAAGAUCAUGGAAACCUAGAAUAUCACAUAAAGUUUUCGGAAUCAUGGAAACACUAGCACCCAAAUCAUAUAAAGCAUAACACUCAUGAACUUUAAUUUUAAUCUUUAUAGUAGGUUCCCACUCAUCAUAAAGUUUUCUAGGUUUAGAAACUUCCAAAUUAAGUUUUUCAUCAAAAGAUUGCAUCAAGGCAUCAAUGAUAUGUUUGGUAAAAGCUUUAUUUUAACUAUAAGCAUGAGGAGAAUUCACAACGGAUUGCAACAAGGAAAUACAAUCUUCUAAAUAACAAUUAUCAUAAUUAAAUUCCUUGAAAUCCAAGAUAGUGGGUUCAAUGCUAUUUAAAGUCUUGACCUCUCCAAUCCCACUUUUACCAAAUUUAGCAUCAAGAUCUAAAAACUCUGAAUCAUUGGGACGCCUUUUAACUAAAGUUGACUCAUCUCCAGUCCUAUCAUUAUAAAGAUUCAUAUUGCAAAACAAAGAUCUAAUAUGGGACACAUCAAUAACUUUAAGAUCCUCAUCAUUAUUUUCAUGGAAACUGGAAGAACACGCCUUUAUAAAGCAAUCUUUCUUAGCACGCAAUUUAGUGGAUCUUUCUUUGCACUCAUCAAUGGAAAUUCUCAUAGCUUUGAGAGACUCAUUGAUAUCAUGCUUAGGAGGAAUAGAUCUAAGUUUCAAAGAAUCAACAUCAAGCGAGAGUCUAUCAACGUUCCUAGCCAAAUCAUCAACUUUGAGCAAUUUUUCUUCAAGGAAGGCAUUAAAAUUCUUUUGAGAGAUCAUAAAUUAUUUCACACUAAUAUCAAAAUCAGAGGGCACCUUAUUAAAAUUACCAUAAGAAUUAUUGUAGGAAUUUCCAUAAUUAUUAGAGGAAUUACUAGGGAACAGUCUAGGAUUAAAGUUUCCUCUAUAAGCAUUGUUUCCAAAAUUAUUCCUACCAACAAAAUUCACAUCCAUAGAUUCAUUAUUAUUUUCAAUCAAAGUAGACAAAGGCAUAUCAUUGGGAUCAAUAGGAGCACUCUUAGUAGCAAACAAUUUCAUAAGUUCAUCCAUCUAUCCACUCAAUACAUUAUUUUCUUCUAUAGCAUGCACUUGUUUACUAGUAGAUCUUUCGGUGUGCCAUUGAGAAUAAUUAGCCAUAAUAUUAUCAAGGAGUUUUGUAGCUUCUCCUUAGCUGAUUUCCAUAAACGUGCCUCCCGCGGCCGAAUAUAAAAGAUUUCUAGAGGCAAAAUUCAAUCCGGCAUAAAUUUUUUGUAUGAUCAUGCAUAAAUUCAAACCAUGAGUAGGGCAAUUGCGAAUCAUCGGUUUCAUUCUUUCCCAAGAUUGGGCAACAUGCUCAUGAUCAAGUUGUUUAAAAUUCAUAACAUCGUUCCUAAGAGUGAUGAUCUUAGCGGGAGGAGAAUACUUAGAGAUAAAAGCAUCUUUGCACUUGUUCCAUGAAUCAAUACUAUUCUUAGGCAAAGACAAAAACCAAACUUUAGCACGAUCUCUAAGUGAAAACGGAAAUAACUUCAAUUUAACAAUAUCAUUAUCCGUAUCUUUCUUCUUUUGCAACUCACACAAAUCAACAAAGUUGUUUAGAUAGGUAGCGGCAUCUUCACUAGGAAGGCCAGCGAAUUGAUCUUUCAUUAGACUCAACAUCAUUAAGAGGAGCAAUCAGAGUACUAAGGAAAUCAUUAUUAUUGGUAUUGGAGAAAUCACACAAUUUGGUAUUAUCUUGCGCCAUCGCGACAAGUAAUCCAACACACAAGAAAACGAAGAGGCAAACGAAAGAGAGAGAGGAGAUUGGGAAAGAGAGGGCGAAUAAAACGGCAAGGGUGAAGUGGGGGAGAGGAAAACGAGAGGCAAAUGGAAAAUAAUGUAAAUACGAGGGAGAUGAGUUUGUGAUGGGUACUUGGUAUGUCUUGACUUGAGCGAAGACCUCCCGGCAACGGCGCCAGAAAUCGCAUGUUGGCGGGAGGUCGAAUCUUGACUUGACUUGGUGGAAGCCUCCCCGGCAACAGUGCCAAAAAUCCUUCUUGCUACGUCUUGAGCUUGCGUUGGUUUUCCUUGAAGAGGAAAGAGUGAUGCAGUAAUAGUAGCGUAAGUAUUUCCCUCAGUUUUUGAGAAUGAAGGUAUCAAUCUAGUAGGAGGCUCCUCAAAAGUCCCACGCACCUACACAAACAAACAAGAACUCGCAACCAACGCAAUAAAGGGGUUGUCAAUCCCUUCACGGCCACUUGCGGAAGUGAGAUCUGAUAGAGAUAGUAUGAUAAGUGUUAGGACCCCGAUCCUAAGUCAUACCGAUCUAGCAUGUAACACCUCAAAUCACUUUGCGGCCUCACGCACUGUAUUCCCACGGGUGUCGCCUUACCAUGCCCGGGACCGUUUGCGCCUUUUGGCACACGUAUAUGAUAGUGUCGCUAGCAUCCAUAUGACAAAGAACCCGAGCUGACAUGGCUAGUCGUGAACCUGAAGUGGCACUAACUUAUAGGGACAGGCACACAUGACCCAGCAUCGAACGUGUCGGUCAUCAGCGAGUGAAUCCGGGCUGUAGCAACUGGGCUAGCAGGACUCCGGUAAACCGGGCUGUAGCAGGCUAACAGGACUCCGAUGGAAACCGCGUGACAUUUCCCUGAAGGGAUAGACACAGGAACGAAGAAGGACACAUGCCGGCCAGCCUAAGUGUUCCAGAGUAGUAGCAAGCUACCAGGGCUCAGUGGAAGCACUAGGAGACAUUUCCCGGUAAGAGAGACUACUAAGGAUAAACAACUAGUUAGUCAGAUCCCACACAUAGCAAUACACAUUACACGUAUGCAUAACAUGCAAGUAUGUGUUGUACAACAUGGCAUCACAACAUAACUCAACAACUCAUAUAGAUAAAGGCUCAGAAGAGCCAUCGUAGCAUUUAUUACAAGCAGGGCUCACAUGACCCAACAUUCAGAGCAGACAAGCAACAAGUGGAAGCAUUACAUGUUUGAGUACAAACACCUACAAAUGAAAAAGGCUGAAGAGUCUUACUAUCUACAACGUCCGAUCAAGAUUGUAGCUGAGGUACAAGCUACUUGUCGAAGCCCACGAGAACACUAGUAAGACCGAAGUCUCUGCUGCAAAAACAUAAAUAAAGCAACAUGAGUACAAAGGUACUCAAGAAGACUUACAUCAGAUCCUAGCAUACAUGCAUUUGUAUCAAGAGGAUAAUGUGGGGUUUAGUUGCAGCAAGCCAGCUUUGACUCAGUGGCUAUCAUGUUCUACGACUACGAGAACUUCUUUGAGGUGAGAUGGCGCACAUGAGUCCACUAAUCACCACACAAUACACUACUAUGGAUUCAUCCCCGUCUCCCUAUGAGAAGUCCAUCCAUAGCACUCACACUUGUCUUGAGCAUUUAAGAGUAUCCACUUCAAGUUGUCUAUGUACCAUGUAAGCAUCCAAGAAGUCCAUAACCGCGGACCCGGCUAUUCAAAUAGGUCAUGUUAACCCUGCAGGGGUGUACUUCUUCACACACGCUCUCGACACUUACCUCCAUGUACACGUCAUGUAUCUCGGCAACCUUCAAGCGGAAGCCUGGCGAGGGUGUCAGCCACGACCUGACUAACCACACAAGACUCUAGUCCAGGUUUAUCGCCUAUUUGGGUUCCAUCUGCAAGGAGAUCCGGCCGGGGUGUCGCUCACGGCCCCAAAUGAUGUGUGCAGGGUUCCCGAGCCCACCAUCCGGGUGCCACUCGGUACACCAGGCCACGUGUGCCUAGUCUGUCCCAAGCCCACCCUGCUGGGUGCCACUUGGUAGAAAAAUAGCACUACCUACAAACACCAGAAACUAGUUGCAACUCCUGGACAGAGAUCAAGUUGGUUAAUAAGUCGAGAAGGCUUGGAGCGCCCGGAGCCCAAUGUGUGGUAGUAUUGAGUCAUUGGACAACAUACAUAGAACUCAGUGCUUAAGGACGGUUCCAGUGAGACAACCCACCAUGUACUCCUACAUGGCCUCUCACCGCUACCUUUACCAAAUCGUGUUCACACACUUCACUCUCAGCAUCAGAACAUAUCAUAACACUCCAAUUCAUUCCCAAUGAAUCAGACCUGACACAACUCUAAGCAAUAGCAGGCAUAGCAUGGUAGGAACACAACAUGGCUCAAUCAACUCCUAUACAUGCUAGUGGGUUUCAACUAUUUACUGUGGCAAUGACAGGUCAUGCAGAGGAAUGGGUUCAACUACCGCAGCACAAAGUAGCAGAUGAAUCGUUGUUGUCCUAAUGCAAUAACUGAGAGCAGGAGCGAGAGAGUAGGAUUGUAUCAGAAUGAACAAGGGGGUUUACUUGCCUGGUAGAUCAACAAGGGGGCACUGCUCCUCAGACAGGUACUCUGGAACGGUCUCCGGAGCAGGACCUAUCGAGAAGGAACGGUGCCGGCAAUCAAUACACAAGCAUAUGCAACAAUAUGAUGCAUGAACAUGGCAUGUAGAUGUGAUGUUGUUUGAGAUAAUUCAGCUAGCAAUCAUUUGGUUGAAGUUCAUUUGAACCAAGAGUUCAAAUGCAAUUCCAAAUUAACUCUUUAUAAAUGCCAUUUACAUGUUUCACUUAUACAGCAUGUAUAAGUUGGUUUGUCAUGCAUGAAACUAGUACAGAUAGAAAGAUUGCAUUUUUCUGAUAAUUUUUCAUAUAUAAAUUAUCUCAAUCUGAGCUAUGGUUGAAUUUCUAUGAUUUUUUGAAGUUUGAAUCAUUUUUUGGAAUUUCCUAAUUAAUUUUAAAUCCAGAAAAUGAAUAACUGCGUCAGCGUGACGUCAGCGAGUCAACGGCCAGGUCCAGGUCAAACUUGACCAGUGGGACCCAUACGUCGGUGUCAUGGUUAAUUAACGGAGUUAAUUAAUUGUCAAGCUAAUCUUAAACUAAAACUUAGCAGGGUCAGGCCCCACAUGUCAGUGUCACAGGGGGGGUUAGUUAGCGGGGUUGACCCGGUCAAUUUGGCCGGCGUUUAGCCGCCGACGAGGCCGAAGGCAGCGGAGGGGCUCGGGAUCGUUGCUCCGGCGACCAUUUGGGUGGGGGAGACCACUCGCAAGGAGCCAACGCUCGUCCGCGUCAUCUAGAGCAAGUGGGGAAGGCGGGGACGGCCGGAGCUCGCCGGAGCGGAGCUCGGGGCGGCGGCCAGAGUUCGGGCGUGAGCGGGGAUGCGGCUGCGGUGUGCGAGGGCGAGAACGGAGAGGGGGAGAAGGAGCAGCAGCUCACCGCGGUUGCAGCGGGCGUCGAAUCAGGCUCAGGGGCGGCCGGACGGUGACGGGCGGGCGGUGGAGAUCCACGGUGGCCGGCGGCGAAGAAGACGACGGUGGCGAUGAUGGAGGCCGUCCGGAGGCGCGCGACUUGACGAGGAGGGAGAGGGGGUCGCGGAGGAGCUGUGGAGUGCGUCGGGGAGGCGCAGCAGUGGCCGAGGCCUCGGUGUCUGUGGACGACGGCGACGGCGGUCGCGGCCACGAGAGAGAGAGUGAGGGAGAGGAGAGGAGAGGACCGGGGGAGAGUGAGAGGGGUACGGGGCGGCGCGUGGCGUCGCGCGGGGCAUCCAUAGCGACGAGAGGGAGGACAAGUAGGCAGGGAGGGAGGAGGUGGCGCGGCGCAGCGGUGCGUGCGCAUCGGGCACGCGCCCGUCCUCCUGUCGGGGAGGAAGACGACAGAGGAGGGGGCUAGGUGGGCUGGGCUGGCCAACUGGGCCGGCCAGGCCGCGCAGUGCUGGGCCAGACGGCUGCAGGUAAGCGACAGGUAGGAUUUCCCAUUUGUUUUUCUUUUCUAUUUUCUAACAUUUGUUUUGAUUUAAUAAAAAUACUAAAUCAUUUUAUUUUCUUAUGCCAAUUUUUGCAGGAGCUAGUGGUAUUAUUCCAGAGCUCCUCAACAAAUGGCAUAAUUUUUGGACAUAUAUUAUACUAGUGGACCCGUUGCGCCAAAUGGCGCAGAGACCCGCUAAAGCCAUGUUGUCGAUGAAAAUAGUUUCAUUGUGCAAGGACAUAUUCGAUAUUGGUAGUGGAAAGCCCAUUUUAAACCAUGCUACAUGUUGCGCCAAAUGGCGCAGAGAUCCGCUGAAUCUAUGUGCGGAUUGAAAAGAAAACCCAUGGUUUAGUUGGUUUAGUUGUGGACAAGCACAUAUGGCAACAAAUUUAAUCACCUUUAAAUAAAAAACGGUGACUUGUUGUCUAAAAUGAGAUGUAUAUACACAUUUUAAUUUGGUACCACAGAGUCCCAUUCAAAUCGAUGAGAUGACCAGUUCCACCAAAUGGCACAGAGUCCCAUUUAAAACCAUGUGUGCUUUGAAAAUAUUUAGUAACUUUCGGUUUUAGCAAGCAAUAAGGGUAAGAAUUCCAACCCUUUUAUAUGAGAAAAUUAUGGAACACUACGUUUCAAAAUAUAUACUUGAUCAUGCAUAAUUUGUUGUGUUUUUUUGCAUGUUUCAAAAUAUACAAUUAUAUUUCCAAAUGGCACAAUAUACCAAUUCAAACCCGGAGUGUCUUCGCAUUUAUUUGCUUAUUUGAAGUUAUAGAAAUUAGUUAGAUGGAGGGUAUUAAGCAAUUGUAGCAUGGAACAGCUCUGUUGUCUACAUAUUGUGAUGAGGGUGGAUAUUUAUUUGCUUUUGUGUGUGCAAGGACUCUUAGUUUAACUACUUAGCCAUGCAAGUUUGCAUGAAACUAACUUAUAGGGUGUAAAAACAUCUCCGGUCCAAGAUUUUUUGAAUGUCUCCAAAACCAAGGGGCAAAAGAAACCACCACAUCAACAAUCAAAGAAUACAAAUGACAUGUUCAAUUCUUGGUUGAUGUGGCAUGAAUAGAUAGAUUUAUGUAAUUGGUUUUUCCCUUUCCUCUUAUGGCUCUCUUAAAUGGGUACUACAUAUCUGUUAUGGUGAAAAUAGAAGAAGAAAAUAUCAACCAAGCAUAUCUAAGAUACCACCAUGAUUCAUACACACGUGUUACAUCUGGAAUUGAAUGGAACCACUAAACUCUCAUGUUUCUCUCAAAGGGAACCUUCACUUCCUUCUCUAUGCUCUCACCAAUACCAUCACCAAGUUUCCUCACACCAACAUAUGAGUGGCAUCAUCAUACUCAUCACCAAGAUCAUCAUGUGAAUCAAUGGCAUCAUCAUACUCAUCGUCUGGAUCCCAACACCAAUACACUUGGCCUUAGGUAAAUAAGAAUUCUCUCAUACAAAUAGGCAGGUGACUGCCAAAAGCAAAAGCACGAAAAACGGUCCAGACGCAUGAAAAAAACAGAUCCGACGGCCGACGAAGGCCGAAUCGGAGGAGCCUUCUGGAGGUGAGUUGGCUAGCCUCAUUAUUGUUUUAAAUUUAUUAAUUUAUCACCACCUGAGGUGGAAUUAUCAUUCUCAUGCUUCAUGACAAAAUGACCCAUAAUUCUUUCUUGAACACCAUGGUAAAAGGCUAAUAAUGUUUAGGCUGAAAACUUGGUGGUGCAGUAAGAAAGAUCCUAAUUUUAGAUACACUACAUGUACAUUAAAAAUUAUUUUGAGAAGUUGAACUAAUAGUUUAAAAAUAUACUGACUAAUUACAUACCCCUACCUACGGAGCUGCAACCAACAAUCUCAAUUUUUUAGUGUAUACAUACAUGACGUGUCACAUUCAAAAUUGAGGUAUACUGCAGAUAACCCAUUACAUUCAUUAGUGUAUCAUAUUAGCAGGAAGUCCCCACCAGUCUACAGUUUCCUCAUGUAAAAAAAAUAGUGUGCCGUUUCCUUUUGCCAAAAGAUCGUCUAUUCCCCAUCUUUUUUUCAGAGUUAACAAGCGGUGGUAUCAAACAAGUGACAAAUAUAACAAUAUGUUACAAAUUUAACACCGAUCACACAUAAGCAUAUCUUGACUCAAACAUAGCAUCCAACAGUAGUUUAGUACACACUCGCCCAAAUCAAACUCUCAAGACAGGACAUAACAUUAAAGUUUGACAACACGCGACACUUAGUUCUCGGUACUUAAAUUCAGAAACAUGAAAUAACAAUGACAGGCAGUGUAAAGAGCAGUAUUGUUGCCAUCCCCCAAACUUCUAAACUUCAAGCUUCAUUGCUUCUGCUCCAACGACCAGCCAAAAUUAUUCAGAACCACAACCAAUAAAACAGAACGUCUAGAAUAUGAAAAUUAAUUCAAUUGAGUUGAUCAUAUGGGUAGAUAGAAUCAUAAAGGAGAUUAUUACAUUGAUUCGCAUCAGCAGGGUCAAUGUUAACAAGGAUUCUGGAUGUGUUAUUUGAUGAAUAAAACAAAAUCUACAUGUAUUUUGUACACCAAGUUUAUUACACUGAUUCAGAGCAGCAAGGUCCUAUAAAAACAGUGAAUUCAUGGUGUUCUAAUUGUGUAACUGAUAUCUAACUAAGAACUAUAUUCUCAUAUUACCAAGAUGAAUAAAAAAGAAAAGUCCAACUGAGAGGAGCUGCUUCUCAUAAAGAUCUAAACAAAUGCCAACCAACUUGAUGGUCCAUCCUAAAAGAUUCUACUUUUUCAUGAUAAGCAGGUUAAUCGUGCACAAAUAAGAUAACUGAUAUUCCAACAAAUGGCAGCUAGCUUUGAACUCCACAAGAUCUCUAGUUUUGGUUGCAAGGCUGUCACAAGAUCCCUGCAGUUUUAGUUUUGGUUUGGUUGCAAGGCUGUCAGACUCGUACUAAUUUCAGAAGUUCAGAUAUAGUAAAACUCUUACUAAUCCCAGAACAUCUGAACUGCACAAGAACCCUGUAGUUUUAGAUAAAACAAAGCACAACAGGACUAUCCCUGAAAAUGGAAUACAGAAGGGCCAUUUUCCGAAUGAUACAAGUACUAUGCUUCUUAUCAAAUUAGCUUGUAAGUUCUCAGUUCAUGUGGUAGAGAAAAGGUUAACUUAUCCUUUAUGGUACAUAUUGUAUAUGCAAUAGUCUCUAUACUUUAAUUUAAUAUUUAUCAAUCGUUAGAACAAAAGAUUCACAUCUAUUAUCUUCAUUUAUGUUUCAUAAUGGAUUGCAAACUAAGAGUCGUUAUAAAGUAUUUGUUGGUAUCAAAGAGGGAAAGUUGUACCACCAAUUAUCAAAAGCACUUAAAUGAGGUCACCAAGGUGGGAAGGGAGAGAGCGAGGGAGAGAGAGAGAGAGAGAUAUCGUUUUGUUGGGCUAACAGCAGGUUGAUGAUAGGUGGAGGCAUUGGGAUUCCAGGAAGCACCACCUCCCAGUACAUCUUUGGCAUCUCCACGGAGUUUGGCAUCCCCGCCGUGGCCGCAUCGGCGAAACUCGCAAGCCAGACUCUCUCUCCUCCAGUGAACUGCGUGCAUCAGAGAAUAGAUGGAUAAUUUUAAAAAACGAGAGCUUGGGUCUAUUUUACAUAACACAACUGUAACCUGUGAAUAGAAACAUGAUGACCCCAGGUUGCAAUCAAGGACCAGCAAAUUAUAAGAAUCUAAUAAAAUGAGUAAAAGAAAUUACAUAUUGACG